UGAUGCUGACAUGGUGUUAGGAUGGCAGGGUCCAGCUGUUGUUGUAGAUGGGACUCUUUAUGUGUUGGACCAGAGGUUGGGAACUAGGCUGAUGAUGUGGCAGAAGGAAAGUAGGAAGUGGGUGGCAGUCGGCAGGCUGUCACCUCUUCUUACAUGUCCACCUUGUCGGCUUGUUGCAAUCGGGAAGAGCAUUUUUGUCAUAGGGAAGGGGCUUAGCACUGUGGUUUUCGACAUUGGCAAUGUGGGGAAUAUGGGAGGGGUAAUGGUGAGUUCUUCUAUACCCAAAUUAACUUCUGAUGAUGAUGUAAUUAGCUGUAAGAUUUUAGCUAUUUGAAUUGUGUUCUAAUCUUAGGCAGCUCAAGUGAUUUCUAAUUGAUUGAAUCUGUUGAAAUGUAUGUAAUUUUGUAAAAACUCAUAUUGCUAUGCACUUAAUGCAAAUUAUGCAAUAUUGUCAAAUUCCAUAUCAUUUUACAUACUACCCAAAAUGAGCCUGUUUUGUUUUUUCUUUUCAUGUCUUCUUUCACAGUGAACUUGGGUUUCAAUUUUGUUUUAAAGUGUAGCCUUUGUGGACAAGUUAAGUUGAUAGUUCUUUCUUGUUUAUACUAAACAUUAUUGUUUUGUGGUGCCACAUAAGUAUAUACGUACUUAUGCGUGUGCUUACAAUUUUAUAUGUGUGUAUACCUACAUAUGUAUUAUUUGUCUAGGUUUGUACGUGUGUGUGUGACAAUGAGAAACUAUCCAGAGUAUAAUAGUGGGGAUAAAAACUGAGAAAAAAAAAUUAAAAAUGAAAACAAAAACAAAAACAAUCAUAAAAAAACCUGCAUGAAACCUAUCUUAGAACUUAAAGAAGUGGAAGACGAGGUGUACUUAACAUUUGAGUGAAGUUACGAUGUUUAGGUUUAAAUGGGGUAUACACUUGUAUUUUUUUUAGUUUUAUUUAUGAUCUUCUAAUAAUUUUUUGAAGGGUGAAUUUGUUGUUAAAAUGAAAUGGAACCAGUAAUUUUUGGAUUUUAGUAACAUAUUCCUUGCAUAACUACGUUUGAUUCUUGGAAAAUUUGGGAAUAAAUAUGAAGGAAAGAAAAUAAAGAGGAAUUACAGAAGGAAAAUAAAAAAAAAUAUUUGAAGUCAAUAAAUUAUUUUUAUAUGUUACCUUAAACUCAUUUAAUUUGUUUUAUUUUUCUUUUAUGUGAAGAUUAAAUAUUUGAAAAAUAUAUCAAUUUUUAAUUAAUUUGUUGUUUUUUUUCUUUUAUGUAAAGAUUAAAUAUUCUAAAAAUAUAACAAUUUUUAAUUAAUUUGUUGUUUUUUUUCUUUAUGUAAAGAUUAAAUAUUCUAAAAAUAUAUCAAUUUUUAAUUAAUUUAAAUUAUAUUUGAUUUUCUUUUAUCGUAUAUCGAAACCAAAUAUGGGAAAAAUAAUUUUCCUCAACUCUUUUUGUUUUUGCUUAGUACUUUUGGGAAGUAAACAUAGCAUAUAACUCUAAUUGUGAAAUGGAAAUCUCUUUUGCAUUCUUGUUAAUGUGUAUUAAAGAAAAAUCUUCAACAGAAAUUGAGUAACUAAAAUAGAUGUGAAUUCCACCCACUUGAAGAUGGUCGCUACACUGGUAGUAAUCUUCUGGGGGUCAAGUCUUCGAAGGAGCUUGAGCACCUUUACUUUCAAGUUUAACACAAAUUUCGAGAACAAACAAUUUAAAAUGGCAUAUCUUCAAUUAAGUUUGUUUUAAAAUGAGAAAAUUUCAAUUUUGAGUCAAAUUUCCUGAAAAUUUCUUGGAUUGGUAGUGAGAGAUCUUCAAUCAGUUUGUUUUCAGAGAAAAUGUUGAAAGAGCAUUCCUCCAGUUUUUUCAGAGGGAAAGCUGUAGUGUGAGAAGAAAAAAAGAACCAAGAACUCAGUAGAGUUAAAACGGUUAUUCUGAUUCUUCAACUUAGGCACUUUUGUCUUUCUAAAAAUCCAUUCAAUAUUCCGCCCUUUCCACCCACUCAAUUACCUUACAGAUGCUUCUGAUAUAAUUUGUCCAAGGAAAUUAACUGGGUAAAGAAAUGAACUGGGAAAAGAAUUAGGGAAAUCCAUUGCUUGGCAUGAAAGAACAGAGAAAGGAAAAUGCCAACAUGGAUAGGAUAGGGCAUGUUGGGAAACAUGCAUAUUUUAGACCAAGGGAUCAUUUCAUUCAUUGAUUCUAUUCAUUCACAUUGACUCAAUUACUUCAAAUAUUUCCAACCUAUAUGAAUAAAUACAUUUCUUGAUUUACCCAACCUGGAAAAAAGUUAGGCUAUAUACGAAUUUUUUGGCUGAUGAUUUGGUAUGAUUAGACCUGUAUCUGAUUCUGUUGAAUACGGUACUGAGAAUGGAAUUAGUAUGAAGCUGGGAAUGAAGUUUGGUGUUAGAAUAAAGAAAUGGACAGGAACUUGUGCCUCGUCUCAAAAGAAAGGGAUCUCCAUUGUUGGUCAUCAAAGGAAAGAAUUGGGAAAGGAAGAAGGCUUCCCACUCCUUCAUUCUUAAGGAGGAGAAUCCUGGGCUGUGGAGUCCAAACAAAUCAUCUUCCUUCUCUUUGGAGCACAAGGGCUUCCUUUGCCUCUUGUUAGCACCCAGAGAGAGAAGAGUUGUGAAAAAAGAAAUGGCAGAAAGCAGUGUUACGUUCUUCCUAGAGAAAUUGAGCAACUUGGUUGCAUAAGAAGCUUCUCUAUUGGGAGAAGUAGAAGGCCAGGUGAAGCUGCUGCAAAAUGAGCUGAAAUGGAUGCGCCCUCUUCCUGAAGGGUGCGGAUUCAAAAUGCAUGUACGAUGAAAGAAUCAAGCUGUGGGUGGAGCCGAUCAGAGAGGUAGCCCAUGAUGCUGAAGAUCUCAUCGACGAGUUCAUCUUCAACAUGGAAUAUUAUUUGUGUCAUGUCUCCCAGUGAAAAAAGAAAAAAAAAAGAAAUGAAAGAGAUUGGAGAGGCUAAGCUUGGUAGGAAGCUUUGUGAAUUCCUGAAGCACAAGAAGUGCUUGGUAGUUAUGGAUGAUGCAUGGAGCAGCUUGCGCAAUGAUGAAAUUGCUCUGCGUGCCACCAAUUCACAAGCAUUUAUCCAUAACCUUGGUUUUAUGGAUAAGGAUGAGAGUUGGCAGCUCUUUCUCAAGAAAACUUUUGGAGGGAGAAGUACAACUUCGACAACUUCGACUUUUUGAGGUACAUGAAAACAUUGAUUUCACAUUUCGUCUUUCUUUGGCUUAUCAUUCAUCAACAUCUUACUAAAAAUAACAUUUCUCAACACUUUCAGGAUUCACAACUUCGAUCUUUGGUUUUAUGUUGAGAACUUUUACCAAAAACAAAAAAAAAGUUAGGAAUCUUUGCAAGAGCAUAUUAAAUUACUUAAUGUUUUGGACCUAAGUGAAACAUAUAAUUGUUAUAUGCUCCCAGGGGGAAUAGGAGAACUCAUCCACCGAGAUUCUUGUGCAUGAAGGGAUGUCACAAAGUAAUGCUUUCAUCAUCCACAUAUAAAGAUUGGUUAGGGCAUGUUUGGAAAUGGUAUUAAAAAUAGUUUUUGUUUGUUAGAAUAUAAAAUAAAAAAAACAUGUUAAACAAUUAAAAGCUAUUUUUUGUUUUCUAUUUUUAAAAAUAAAAAAUAGUGUUUUCAAAAAACAUCUUUUAAUUAUUAUUUUUUUGUUUGCACUUGUUUUUUGAAAAUUAUUUUAAGAAAUAAGUAUACAAGCAUAUAAAAUAAUUAAAAAUAAAACAUUAAAUAUAUAAUUUAUUUUUAAAAAUAUUAAAAAUAUUUUAGUAUCAAACAAUAAUUUUCAAAAACAUUAAAUAAUUUUUUAGAAUCAUUUUUGAAAAUAGUUAUCAAAUAGGCUCUUAACCUGCAAAGUCCUAGAGAUGUGUUUCUAAUCUAGUUUAUUCAAUUUGCAAAUUGAAGCAAUUGUGAUAUCUAAAUUGUCAUUAUGGCAAGGUUUGAAGCCAAUCCAAAAUAAGUAAGCGUGUGAAUGGUGACUUGGGUGUGGAGCUACUCACCAAAUUUACUUGGAUAGAAUGUGAAUUAAGAAAUGAUCCAAUGAUGAUUCUAAAAAAGUUGCCAUUACAUGCAUGUGCAUGGACCAUGUACCUAACCCACCAUAGAUGCCUUUUUUUUCUUUUCCCUAUAUUUAUUCCCACUAUAUGAAUUUUUAAACCUUUUUGCUUUUGCUUUUUUCGUAAAGGAAUGAAAUCAUUAUUUUAUUCAUAAAAUGAUAAAAGUAAACAGUUCACACUAAUCUAAUAAUGACCAUUAUAUCCCAUUACUGACCUUUAUUCGUCUUUUAAGAAAAUUUAUUCAUCCCUAGGAGGGUCCUCCUUUAUAUUAUUUUACUUUUAUAUAUACUUUUUUUUUAUAAUCUUUAUUUACCAACCUUGCCCAACGGUUCAGAUCCACUUUUAUCAUCAUCUUUUUUUAAUUAUUAAAAAAACAUUUAAACGUGACAACAUUUAUUUUUUAUUUCUUUGGAAGUCACGGGAGUAUAAGUUUAUACUUUGAUAAGGUGGAAUCCAUGUCAUAAUAGCAAUCACCUUUACUUUUAUUUUUUUAUUCUUUUGCUUUCUCUUUGUCCAAGAAAACUUUAUCUGUCCACAUGAGAGCAAUUAUCGGAAAAGGGUCUAAUAAAUUUUAAAAAUAAUUUUAAACUCAAACACUUAUCCUAUUAAUAUAAAAAGGAAAAUAGGGAAGUAUUCUAAGAUUAUGUUUUUCGAAAUUUAUUAUUAGGUAAAUACAUUUUAACUCAAACAAGACUUGAAAAGCCCACUGCCACUGAUAACGACACCCCACCAACCCACAAUGAUGUCAUCGUCUUCAUUCUCUCUUUGAAUGGGACUUCUUAUCUUCAUACAUUUUCCAGCAAUCGGGAACCCACCGUGUUAAGAUUGCAUUAACAAGUUUUCUUUCCGAAGAGUAGCUCAAAAAUGGCAGAAGGCACUGUUACCUUCUUUGCGGAGAAGUUGAGCAACUUGAUUUUACAGGAAGCUUCUGUAUUUGGGCAAGUAGAAGGCCAGAUAAAGCUGCUGCGCAACGAGCUGGAGUGGAUGCGCCUCUUCCUGAAGGAUGCGGAUUCAAAGCGCAUACACGACGAAAGAAUCAAGCUGUGGGUGAAUCAGAUUAGAAACGCAACCCAUGACGCUGAAGAUGUCAUCGACGAAUUCAUCGUCAACAUGGAUCAUCGCCAGCGAAGACUCAACACCCUCAAGCUCCUCAAGUGCCUACCUACUUGCGUAGGAUUCGCUGACAAGUUACCCUUCAUCCACGAGCUUGACAGUCGUGUGAAAGAUAUAAAUGUGAUGAUUGGGGCGAUUAUGGCUAAUAGAUCCAAGUAUGGUCUUGGAGAUCUAGUGGCUUCCAGCUCAUCCACGACGGAUCAGGUUGCGGCGCACAAGGAGAAGCGGCCCCCAGUAGUUGAAGAGAGCGAUGUAGUGGGGAUCGAAGAUGGCACCGAGGAGGUGAAGCAGAUGCUGAUGAAGGAAGAGACGCGGAGAUCAGUGGUGUCCAUCGUGGGGAUGGGCGGCCUAGGCAAGACAACUCUCGCCAAGAAAGUUUAUAAUCAAAGGGAUGUCCAACAACACUUUGAUUGUAAAGCUUGGGUUUAUGUGUCUCAAGAGUUCAGAGCAAGAGAAAUUUUGCUCGAUAUUGCCAAUCGUUUUAUGUCUCUCAGUGAAAAAGAAAAAGAGAUGAGAGAGAGUGAGCUUGGCGAGAAGCUUUGUGAAUACCUGAAGGAGAAGAAGUACUUGGUAGUCAUGGAUGAUGUAUGGAGCAGUGAAGUUUGGAGUCGCUUGCGCUCACAUCUUCCUGAGGCCAAGGAUGGGAGCAAAGUUUUGAUCACUACUCGUAAUAAAGAAAUCGCUCUGCAUGCCACUUCACAAGCAUUUAUCUAUGAACUUCGUCUCAUGAAUGAUGAUGAGAGUUGGCAGCUUUUUCUCAAAAAAACUUUUCAAGGAACAAGCACACCUCAUACUCUAAUUAGGGAGUUAGAGGAACCGGGAAAGAAAAUUGUGGCAAAAUGCAAAGGUUUGCCUCUUGCGGUUGUGGUCUUAGGAGGCUUACUGUCCACAAAAGAGAAGACAAAACCAUCAUGGGAGAAAGUGCUUGCAAGUAUUGAGUGGUAUCUGGAUCAAGGCCCUGAAUCGUGCAUGGGAAUUCUUGCUUUAAGUUACAAUGACUUGCCCUAUUACUUGAAGUCUUGUUUUCUUUAUUGUGGGAUUUUUCCAGAGGAUUCUGAGAUUAAGGCAAGUAAGUUGAUCCGUUUGUGGCUGGCUGAAGGCUUUAUACAGAGAAGGGGAAAAGAAACACUGGAAGACAUAGCCGAAGACUACAUGCACGAGUUGAUCCAUAGAAGUUUGAUUCAAGUGGCUGAACGAAGGGUAGAUGGAGGAGUGGAGUCUUGUCGCAUGCAUGAUCUCCUUCGAGACCUCGCUGUUUUAGAGGCCAAGGAUGCAAAAUUUUUUGAGGUACAUGAAAACAUUGAUUUCACAUUCCCUAUUAGUGUUCGUCGGCUUGUCAUUCAUCAAAAUCUCAUGAAGAAGAACAUUUCUAAAUGCUUGCAUAAUUCCCAACUCAGAUCUUUGGUUUCAUUUAGUGAAACUACAGGAAAAAAAAGUUGGAGAUAUUUACAAGAGCAUAUUAAAUUACUUACUGUUUUGGAGCUAGGAAAGACAAAUAUGCUUCCAAGGGAUAUAGGAGAAUUCAUUCACUUGAAAUUCUUGUGCAUAAAUGGACAUGGUAGAGUAACGCUUCCAUCGUCCAUUUGUAGACUGGUUAAUCUGCAGAGUCUUAACUUAGGAGAUCAUUAUGGCAGUAUACCAUAUUCAAUUUGGAAAUUGCAGCAAUUGAGACAUCUAAUUUGUUGGAAUUGCAAGAUUUCUGGCCAAUCCAAAACAAGCAAGUGUGUGAAUGGUUAUUUGGGUGUGGAGCAACUCACUAACCUUCAAACAUUAGCUUUACAGGGGGGGAGUUGGUUGGAGGGAGAUGGCCUGGGAAAAUUAACCCAACUUAGGAAAUUGGUAUUAGGUGGGUUGUUGACUCCCUAUUUGAAGAAGGGGUUUUUUGAGUCCAUUACUAAAUUAACUGCUCUUCAAACCUUGGCUUUGGGCAUUGAAAAGUAUUCAAAGAAAAGAUUGUUAAAUCAUCUUGUUGGAUUAGAGCGGCAGAAGAAUGUCAUUGAGGAGAAAACAUUAUUCCCAGGACUCGUGCCUUUUUCAUGCCACGCCUAUCUUGAUGUAGUAAAUUUAAUAGGGAAGUUUGAGAAAUUACCGGAGCAAUUUGAAUUUUACCCUCCAAACCUCCUCAAACUCGGAUUGUGGGAUUGUGAGUUAAGAGAUGAUCCAAUGAUGAUUCUAGAGAAGUUGCCAUCAUUGAGAAAGCUUGAAUUAGGUUCUGAUGCAUAUGUUGGAAAAAAAAUGAUAUGUUCUUCUGGAGGGUUCCUUCAACUUGAAAGCUUAAUAUUGAUCGGAUUAAAUAAAUUGGAGGAACUGACAGUAGAGGAAGGAGCAAUGAGUAGUCUAAAAACCUUGGAAAUUUGGUCUUGUGGUAAAAUGAAAAAGCUUCCUCAUGGAUUGUUACAAUUGACAAAUCUUGAGAAACUAUCAUUGCGAGGGUCAUCAUACCACGAAUCAAUUGAAGAGAUUGAAAAGGCCGGGGGAGAAGACUGGGAUAAGCUCCGUAAGAUCAUGUGCUAAUGCUUAUUUUAAGCUUAAAAGAAGUUUAGACAUGUCAAUUGCCAUAUUCCUAAAAGGCUGGGGGACAACUUCGGCUGUGUCUAAAAAGAAAGCCUUCCUUGGUUUCAUGUAUUGGAAUUUGCCACCCACAUUCUCACAAGUACCCGAGAGAUGAAGGCCAUGUGUCGUGGAUGCUCGUUCUCAAGUAUGUUUGUUUUUAAUUUCUUUUUUGUUCCUACUUUGCCGUAGUUUUCAAAUUUGUAUAUUUUUCUUGUUUUUAAUUUUCCAAGUGAUGAAAUUUCGUAAGUUUGUCUUGAAAUGAAAUGAUUUAUGGAUAUUGAAUCUCAAUUUCCUUUUUAUUUGUUUUAAUUUAAUCAUGCAUUAUUUUUUUCUUUGGCCAGAAUUCUCUUUUAAUGUAUAGGAGGAUAAGUCGUACAACAAAUUUCUAAAUCUAUGGAUUAUAAAAGCGCCACACCUAUUCUUUUUGUUUUUUUCCAAAAUUUUUAUUUUUUUAUUUAUAAUUCAACCAAGGAAUAAAAAAUUAAAUACUAUAAUAACAAUAAAUAUUAUUUUUAUACUAAAUUCAAUUAGAAUUAAAAAGAAAAAAAUUAUUUAUAUUUCUUUAUUGCUGGGUUUAUUUUUGUAUUCAUGUUUUCAAGAACCCAUUGAAAUGAGUUAUUCCUAAGCACGAGUUGGGCCCAUGUGCAGAUUGAAAAUAUGGUUAUGCUUUUGCUUGGACCUGGGCCAGUAAUUUUAAGCCCAAUUGGGUUCAGCCCAACACAGUUAACCACAAUUCUUGUUUCGGUUGAGUGGAUUCAACGGAUGUGAUGUUAUGUAAUGCAAAUUGCCAUAUUAUAUAAAAUUAAAAAUAUUUAUGUGACGUAUUAUUUAAUAACAAUACAUUCUAAAAAAUUUUGCUUUUGCUUCAUAUACAUUCUAAUAAAGUAAUGUUCAUUUUUUUUCCCUUUAUUUCCUAUGAUAUAUAGCUUUUAGAAAUUUUAAUUUCCAUGGCAUGAAUCUCUCUACAUUAAUAUAUAUAUAUAUAUAAACAAUUUUUUUCUUAUAAUAUGUAAAUAAAUUCAAAAUUUUAACCUUUCAUCAAAUGGUAGAAGAAGAAUCUUAUAUAAAUUCCACUUAGGCAAUUCAUUUAAUUAAAUAUAACUAAAGAAAAAAAAUUUUAAUUGGAAUUUAAAUUUGGUAAUUUCCACUAGGGUAUGGUCACUUCCUUUCAUCGUUUUGUACAAAAUCGGAAUUGAUGUGGUUGCAUAUAAUUUUCCUGCUAUUUUUGCAUUAAUUUCUUGGGUUUGUUUCUACUUUCUACAAAUUAAUCAUCGAUCCUUGAUUUAUAUACUUCUAAAUAAAUAAUCUAAUAAUGUUAUUCUUAUCAAAUUAAUAAUUCAAUAAAUCCAUUAAUCUCUAACUUACCUGGACAUCAAUUGUAGGUUUUAUUUAUUCAUUUUCUUCAUUUUUUUUAUGAGAAUGAUCUAGUCUUUAUUUUAUUAAUUUUCAAAAAAGACCAAAGUAAUUCCGGUAAAAGAAUUUUUAGUCUUUAGCAAUCUUAUGAAUAAUAAAAAUGUUGUAUUAGUAAACACCAACUUCCUCGGACAAAUCAAAAAGAAAAAUUGUGAGGUAGGUGACACUAGAAGUAACAUGGAAUGCUAUCUUGAGCUCCAUAUAAAUAUUCUUAUCUUAUGCACAUUAAAUAUAUUAAUUAUACAUGAAAAAAAAUAAAAAAAAUAAAAUAAAACUUGAAAAAAAAAGAAAUAAAAAUUGUAUUCAUUGACAUGUUGGUGCUGGCCUUUAGGGAGAAACCAAAAGAACAAAUUUGAUGUGGAUGGCAUUGUGACAAUUGACGUGGUUUAUCAUUUUUUCAAAUGGUCAUGUGUAAAACUUAUUUAGGUUAAAAACAAAAACUACAAAUUAUUUUAGUUUUCAAGUGAAAACUUUUCUUCUUAUAACAAUAAAUUAAAAUUAUAAAUUAUAAAAAAUUAAUACAUCAUUGAAAUUUUUUUCAGUAAGGUUAUAAUCUAGUUCACAGCUAAAUUUGAAUUAAGAUCUUUAAAAUAAAGAGGUCACAAAUGAAUUCCAUGUAAAUAAUCCAAACAUGCAUAUACUAAUUAUAUGAAAAUAGAAUAAUAAAAAUGUUGUAUUAAUAGGUGCCAACCUCUUCGAAGAAAUCGAAAGGACAAAUUUGAGGUAGGUGACACGAAGAAGCGUGCAAUCUACAUCGUGAACUCCAUGUAAAUAAUCACAUGCAUACAUAUCUAAUAUAUAUUAUUAAUUGAAUGUUAAAACAAAUAAAAUUAAUGAAUAAAAUAAAACUUAAUUUUUUAUAAAAUAAAAUAAAAACCUUUAAAAGUUGUAUUCAUUGAACAUCGUGGAUGGUGACCAUCUUAUAGGAAAGACAAAAAAGAUAAAGGACAAAUUUGAGGUACGUGACAUAUAGUGAUAAUUGGUCUGAUUUAUCAUUUUUAGGUUAAAAAACAACCUCAAUUUCUACGUAGACAAGGAGAACAUGACUCAAAUUUGUUUAAGUCAAGCUCACUUGAUUACAAAAACACAAAAUAAUAAUAAUAAUAAAAAAAACAAACAAAAAAAGAGAUGUCUUAACAAAUUUGUAUGUACAUUAAAUUACGUGCAUUUUGGUCUACUGUCUACAUACAACCAUACUUUAACCUAACAUUUGUUUAACUUAUACGUACAUUACAUUAAUAUUGCAAUACAAUAAUUAGAAACAAAUACGUGCAUUUCGAUUUACCGUCUACCUACCACCAUACUUUAACCUAAUUAUAGGAGGCCUACGUCCAUCCAAGAUACAAACAAUGAGUCGUUUGGCUUAAAGACCAAAUAUUGUCUUGCCUACAGGCAUAAGGUUACCAAAUUCGUGCACUUACAUAUUCCACAUUUCUUUUCUCGCUCAAGUCUUCUCUCUUUGAUUUAUGCUUCGAAGUGGUAUGGUCGGACAACCCGUCCGGACAUUCCUUUGUGCAGGUUGAACCGUUGUCUACCUCUUAGAAGUUAGUUGGAUUACACUCUUGUUGGUUGUGCAAAGGAGACAGGGGGCUCUGACCCCAUGCUUGUUGAAGAAUCAGCUGGCGACUCAUAGGCAGUGGCUUGGUUAAGGGAACCCAUUGGAGCCGUAGUGAAAACGAGUCUUCAUAGGGCAAUUGUCACUGCUUAUGGACCCGAACCUGGGUGAUCUAUCCAUGACCAAGAUGAAGCUUGGGUGAAACUAAAUAGAGGUUCGAACCGACUGAUGUUGAAGAAUUAACGGAUGAAUUGUGAACACUAACCUCAUUUAACAAAUUAUAUAUGAAUACAAACUUAGCCUCUAGAGUUUUAUAAUUAAGAGGCUAAGGACAUAAGUUUUGUCCACCUAAAUCUGACGGCUCAUGAAUGAUGAUGAGAGUUGGCAACUCUUUCUCAAAAAACUUUUCAAGGAACAAGCACACCUCAUACUCUAAGUAGGGAGUUAGAGGAACUGGGAAAGAAAAUUGUGGCAAAAUGCAAAGGUUUGCCUCUUGCGGUUGUGGUCUUAGGAGGCUUAUUGUCCACAAAAGAGAAGACAAAGCCAUCAUGGGAGAAAGUGCUUGCAAGUAUAGAGUGGCAUCUGGAUCAAGGAAUCGUGCAUGGGAAUUCUUGCUUUAAGUUACAAUGACUUGCCCUAUUACUUGAAGUCUUGUUUUCUUUAUUGUGGGAUUUUUCCAGAGGAUUAUGAGAUUGAGGCAAGUAAGUUGAUCCGUUUGUGGUUGGCUGAAGGGUUUAUACAGAGAAGGGGAAAAGAAACAUUGGAAGACAUAGCCGAAGACUACAUGCACGAGUUGAUCCAUAGAAGUUUGAUUCAAGUGGCUGAAUGAAGGCUAGAUGAAGGAGUGGGGUCUUGUCGCAUGCAUGAUCUCCUUCGAGACGUCGCUGUUUUAGAGCCCAAGGAUGCAAAAUUUUUUGAGGUAUAUGAAAACAUUGAUUUCACAUUCCCUAUUAGUGUUCAUCGGCUUGUCAUUCAUCAAAAUCUCAUCAACAGGAACAUUUCUCAAUGCCUACACAAUUCACAACUCAAAUCUUUGGUUUUAUGUAGUCAAACUUUGGAAAAAAAAAAUAUGAGGAUCUUUACGAGCGCAUAUUAAAUUACUUACUAUUUUGGACCUAGGAAAAACAAAUCUGCUUUCAAGCGAAAUAGGAGAAUUCAUUCACUUGAAAUUCUUGUGCAUAAAUGGACAUGGUAGAGUAAUGCUUCUAUCGUCCAUUUGUAGACUGGUUAAUCUGCAAAGUCUUGACUUAGGAUCUAAUUUUGGCAGUAUACCAUAUUCAAUAUGGAAAUUGCAGCAAUUGAGACAUCUAAUUUGUGGGAAUUUCAAGAUUUCUAGCCAAUCCAAAAUAAGCAAGUGUGUGAAUGGUUAUUUGGGUGUGGAACAACUCACUAACCUCCGAACAUUAGCUUUAAAGGAGGGAGUUGGUUGGAAGAAGUGUUGGAUUUCAAGGGUAUGGAAACAAAAGACUAGCCCAAAAGAUAUAAACAAAGAACAUAAUGAAUAAAAAGAAAAAUUUAUCAGCUGAGACGUGACAAGCAUUGUCUUUGAAAUAGAUCCACCCUCCUCGAUGACGAACUUGGUGCACUAGGGUACCACAACCAAAUCUCGCCUUGGGUGCAUUCUGAAAGCGAGAUGUGUACAACUCGAGUUUUUGAAUAAAUUCCUCAAAAUAAAUGUAUGAAAAUACUCCCUGAAAAACUCUUUGAAAAAUUAUCUGAAAAAAUUGGUAUUCAAGUAUAGAGAGGGGUGACCUGCUUUUAUAGGCCACUAAUACAAUUCUAAUGAGAAUCUACUUAUAAUUGGAAGAUGAUACAAAGUGAAAGGUGAUUCUAUUUAUAAAAGGAAUGAGAUUCCACUAGCACAAUCCCAAUAAGACUCUUCCCAAAAAAUAAAAGAUUAAUAAAAAAAUAAAAUAAAUUAAAAGUAAUUUCUAAAAAUAAAAAUAGAAAUUAUUUACACUCUUCCUACAGGAAGAUGGCCUACGAAAAUUAACCCAACUUAGGAUAUUGGAAUUAGGUGGGUGGUUGACUCCCUAUUUGAAGAAAGGGUUUUUGGAGUCCAUUACUACAUUAACUACUCUUCAAACCUUGGCUUUGAGAAUUGAAAAGUAUUCAAAGAAAAAAUUGUUAAAUCAUUUUGGAUUAGAGUGGCAGAAGAAUGUCAUUGAGAAGGAAACAUUAUUCCCAUGACUCGUGCCUUUCUCAUGCCACGCCUAUCUUUAUGUGGUACAUUUGGGAGGGAAGCUUGAGAAAUUUACAGGAGAAAUUUGAAUUUUACCCUCCAAACCUCCUUCAACUCGAAUUGUGGGAAUGUGAGUUAAGAGAUGAUCCAAUGAUGAUUCUAGAGAAGUUGCCAUCAUUGAGAAAGCUUGGAUUAUGUUCUGAUGCAUAUGUUAGAAGAAAAAUGAUAUGUUCUUCUAAAGGGUUCCUUCAACUUGAAAGCUUAGAAUAGUACAAAUUACAGGAAUUAGAGGAAUUGAUAGUAGAGAAAGGAGCAAUGGGCAGUCUGAAAACCCUACAAAUUUGGUAAAUCUUGAGAAACUAUCAUUGGAAGGUGUUGAGGCUUCGCGUCCCUGGUGAUCCACGUAGUUGCCAAAUGGAUGGGCGCACGAUCUCAACCAAUAUGGAUUCUUGAUUCAGUCGUUCUACCUGCAAAAGGCGUCCGGACAGGGUGUCCGGACGAACCCACCGAUGGUUUUGUCAGCCAUGGUUAGAGAGAGAGAGAUAAAUCAAUUGGCCUUUUGCUAGGUAUAGAAAAACUUACCUUCCUCUUUGUGUGAAGGCUUAUAUAUAUAGUAUCAGAAGCUUUGUUUCCUUCUUUAAUGGUAGGGAGAUAUUUUGUAUUGUCAUGAUGACACUAGGUGGUGGCAGGGCUAUCAUCACCCUACGGGUUGCUGACAGAGAUCGUGGUAGGUGAUGCAGCUGUCAGAGUUUGUGGUAGGCGAUCGUGUGAAGUGAUCGUGGGAAGUGACUUGUUGUCACUUCAUCUUGUCCUUUCACUCUGCAGAUGGCGGAACAUGGGUCAUGGCAAGCUGUUGUGAUAACGUGCGAGACUUGCUUACUUCAGUCAAUGAUCCGGACAAACAUAUCCGGAUGGCCUAUGUUGGUCGUCCGGAUGCAUUUGUGGAAGUCGUCCGGAUGUUAUGCUUAUGAGUGUCAUGUGCCUCUCCUUGAGGUAGUCCGGAUAGGAGAAGCGCACCACGUGUACUUUUAGGGAAAUCCGGAUGAGGUUGAUCCGGAUGAGAAUGUGUGCCACGCGUCACCAGGAGAUGUGUGCCACGUGGUAUCAGAGGGAGGGGGUCCCCACAAUGCCCCUCUUUUUAACUUGCCUAUUUUGCCCGAGCAAAAAUGGACGGGUUAAAAAUAAUUGGUUUUUGAAACUGUGGUUACUUUUUGCGCUUAUUGGGCCACGUGGCGAGCGGGGGCGAGGAGUCAGACACGCAUUUAUGAUGAGCCGCCAACCCUGGGUAUUCCCAGGCAGCAUGUCGUUUCAAUGAUAGCGUAGCUGAUCGUUUGGUAUACCGAGGGGCUGUCCCCCUAUAAAUAGCAUACUGUGCCUUCUGUUGCAUUUUUCCUACUGCGUUGUUUCCUGUUAGUGCUGCUUCUUCUUCCUUCUGUGUUCUCUUUUGUUUUCUGAGUGAAGGCCUAGAAUUUUUCUACCGGUGACUUUUGCGUCGCGACGGUGACUGGAUUGCAGUUGUCGACCUUUUCUUCCAGUUUUUUGCUUGGUACGUGCAUUGUUCUUGGUUGUGUUGUGUCGUUGUUGGUUGGUUCUGACUUGCCCUAGGCAAGUUGCUUUUUGCGAGUGGGUGUUUUGAUAGUGUUUUUAGGGUUUUGGUUGUCUCCCUGCGUUUUUGUGGUUUUGGAGAUUUUUUCUAGGGUAGAGUCAAGGGUUUGGGAUGGGUAUGCUGUGUUUUGACUGUUGGUUUUUACUAUGCAGAUUCCAUUUCAGUCUCAGGCUAGAAAAUGUCUGAAAACAAGGAAGCUGCCUCGUCUGGCCCGACCGGUGAUGCUCUUGAGAAAUCUGUAGAUAAGCUGAGUGUAAAGAAGUUCCGGGAACGUUUCUGUAUCCCAAAUGGCGUGCUUGUGGAUUUUAUGGACGAGGAGGAGGUCGUGUCUACUGAGAAAGUCGAAGGCCGCGCCAUUACUUUCUCAAAUGAGCAAUUCAACGCUGGGCUCCGGUUCCCUCUCCCGGCAUUGUUCAAGGAAUUCCUUCACUUUACCCAGAUCCCACCAGCUUUCAUCCACCCCAAUAUAGUCCGGGUGCUGAUGGGAUGCAGCAUUCUAAACAUGUUGUUCAACCUUGACCUCACGCUGCUGGAGGUUCUUUUUGUUUACUCCUUGAAGAAGGGAAAAAAUGGUAUCUUCAGCAUGGCUGCCCACCUGCCAUAUCUUCAAUUGGUGACUGAGCUGCCAGAUUCGACGAAGGGAGGGGCGAAGGGAUAUGUGGUGGUCCGGGGUGCCUGGGCGGGGCUAUUGGAGCAUCCGAGAGGCCUUUUUCUCCAAACUACUCAUUGGAGCUUCCGGGUAAGUCAGCUUGCGGGUUUUGUCCGACAUUUAUCUUGUUGUCCUUCUUGAUGGUUUUAUUAGAUGGCAUAAUUAUCUUUGGUUGCUGAUAAUGCAGGUCCGGACCGGAGGGGCCACGUAGUUGAGUGGGUAGAAAAAGCGUCGUUUGUUCGAUUGAACAAGUUGUUUGAGAUUACUGCCGCUGAGAGGCAAUAUGUGACGCUGCUCACUGCGCGAAACCUGAUGGCCGUUGUCCGGGAGUCCCAUGAGUAUAUCAUCAAUAUUCUCCCCAGGAAGCUGCCAAAGAAGAUAGUGCCUGGGGAGCAUUACCUUCUAAAAGACCUCCCUUUCUACAAGGAGGUGCAACAGGCGGACGCUCAGAAACGCCGAGCACUCCUUGAUGAUCGGGAGGGGAGGAGGAAGGAGGGAACCUUGCGGAAGACUCCUGAUAAAAACGGUCCGCGUCCUCUCCUCCUGCUGGCGCUCCAGCAGAGAAGAAAAAGAAGACUUCAAAUAAGGGGAAAGAAGUGAAAAACCCCACUCCUCCAAAGGAGUUUGUAAUCCCUCCUAUUACUUAUGUGAAGGAGGUAACAAUAAAGGAGCCGAAAAAUCCUCCCCCGCCUUCUAUUUCAAGCGGCCCCGGACAUGUCGUGGGUUUGAACCAUUCAGGGCCUUCGCUGCCGGGGGCUGAACGCCUGUCUUUGUUGGCUGAGGAGGCGGCUUCAAUAAACCAGCCCGGUUCUCCCCAUCGGGAUGCGGAUGCAGUCGGGGCUUCUUGUGUGGUAGCAUUGCCUCCUAUGGCGACCCCAAUGGAGGAAAUAGGGGUAAAAAGCCAGAGUCUGCCUUCCUGCGGGCCAAGCCUUCUUGCCCUUGUUCCGGUGAAGGAGCGAUCUUCAAGGAGGUCGCAUUCGGCGCGCAACUUAAAGUCCGGCCUCAUCGGGCGGCUUCAAGAUCGAUUCCAGGAAACCAUCGAAGUCAGUUGCUCGUCCGUCUAGGAUGAUCAUCCGGAGGGGAGCGAGACGGAGAUGGUAACUGAGACCCCAGCCGCCCCGGUGGUGGUUCCGGAUGAGGGUACGCCCAGAGAGACCCAGCCGGCUGAAAAUGAGGAGGCCCUGGACCUGGAGGAGGAGUCACCUUCCAACGCCUCAUCAGGGGGGCCUGUUGAUGAUGCGGCUUACAUCUCCGCUAGCCCUUUUAGCUACGCGGAGUUGGAAGAGAAGUUGAAACAGAUUCCACCCGGCUCGACCGUUGUCAUGCCUUCAGCCAAGAUGUUCGAAGUGGCGAAAACGACAUACUGUACUUUGUACUUCUUGAUUUUUGUCAUGCUGAUGUGUUUUGUGGUAUGAUUUAUAAUUUUGUUUUUCUUGUUUGUGUGCUUGUCUGCAGCUGGUGAAUGGUCUUCGCGAUAUGGCCCAACAACACGAUCUAUUUACUGACCUGCUGCGGACCACUGAUUACAUGAAGGCCUUCGCCUCUCAGCGCAAAAACAGUGAAUAUCAGCUGCGCUUGAGACUGGAGGAGGCAGAAGCCAGUUUAUCCACCGCUCGGGGGGAUAACGAGGCUCUCCGGGCGGAUUUAGAUGAGGCAAAGAGCCGGGAGGAUUCGAUGGAUGCCUGCUUGCAUGAGGCGGAGGAUGAGAUGGCCCUUUUGAGGGGGGAGGUGAGGCAACUCCGGACGGAGGUAUCCAUUGAGAAGAAGCAGAAGGAAGCCUUGCAGCUGCGCUUAUCAGCGCAAAAAGAAGAGCUGGAGGGUGAGUUUGCUGCAAAGAGGGAGGAGCUUGAGGCGGACUACCAGAAACAAGUAGAUUAUAUGUUAUUCUUCGGCUAUCGCUGCUGCAUGAAGAAACAUGGCAUAAAACGGGAUGUCCCUUUAAUUCCUCCGGGUGAAGAAAAGAAGCUGCUUGACAAGCCUGCUCCCUGAUAGCUUUUCUUUUUGUAAUUUUUUGCUGCUAUCUUCUUUUUGUAUUUUUGUAGUCCGGAGAUCUCUUUGUAUACACCUUUCACAAAUAUUAAUAAAACAUUCUUUAUUCUCAUUUGUGCUUGUCUUCUUUCUUUCAUUGAUAAUACUGCUUUAAAUUGGAUACAUUCCACGAUCUGUGUAAUGAAGUUCCGUCUAGCUUUUGUAGAUGAUAAGCUCCACUUUUACUUGACUUAGAUAUUAUAUAGGGUCCUUCCCAGUUGGCUUGAAAUUUCCCCGCUCCCGUUUCGGCAGUAUUUUCAAAAACUUUUCUAAGAACCAACGUACCAUUUUUGAAGCUUCUGGGCCUUACUUUGCGAUUGUAAUGAGCGGAUGCCCUUUGCUGAUAGUCUGCCAUCCAGAUGGCUGCGCUUUCCCUUACUUCAUCUGCCCAGUCCAAGUUUCUUCCUAACUCUGCGUUUGCAUCAUUCUACUUUGCUGUUUCAGUCCGGAUAGUGGGUAACCCUAUUUCGAUAGAAAUGACUGCGUCCAUACCGUAUGCGAGGGCGAAGGGAGUGUUUCCUGUUGGCCGCCCGGGUGUAGUUCGAUAGGCCCACAAGACGCCGGGUAACUCUUCCACCCAUUUUCCUUUGGCUUGCUCGAGCCUUUUCUUUAAGGCAGUGAUUAGCGUUUUGUUUGUGGCUUCUGCUUGCCCGUUACUUUGAGGAUAACGCGAUGUGGAGUAUGAAUUCCGGAUGUUCAGUUCCGAACAGAAAUUCUGGAAUGCGAUGCUAUCAAACUGUGGACCGUUGUCGGCUAUAAUGGUGUGCGGAAUUCCAAAACGGCAGACGAUGUUUUUCCAUACGAACUUGGUGACAUCUUUGUCUUUGAUGCUAGCAUAUGCUUCAGCUUCCACCCAUUUACUGAAGUAAUCCGUAGCGACGAGCAGAAAUUUCUUCUAGGCAGGUGCAGCUGGGAGGGAUCCCACUAUGUCCAUGCCCCACUGCGCGAAGGGCCAUGGGCCUGAUAUUGGUUUCAAUGUUUUUGAUGGCAUAUGUGGAAUAGGAGCAUACCUUUGACAUUUAUCACAUUUUUUGACAUAUGUUGCCACAUCCUUCUUCAUGGUGGGCCAAUAAUAUCCUUGCGAAUGGGCUCUAUGUGCCAGAGACCAUCCUCCUGAAUGAUUUUCGUAUACGCCCUCGUGCAACUCAGCUAACACAUACUGGGCCUCUGAAUGACUUAGGCAUCGAAGAUAGGGUCCUGUGAAGGAUCGCUUGUAUAAGUGCUCCCCAAUUAGGGUGAAACGGGCAGCUUGUACCCGGACCUUGUGUGCCUGUUUGGGAUCUCCGGGCAGAGUGCCUGUCCGAAGGUAUUCUGUAAUGUUGUUCGUCCAUUCUUGGUCGUCUGCUUGGCUUGCCUCGAUGGUGUUGCAAGUGGAGGUUUCUGCGACAGAAGGGUUGGUUUGCACAUGUAUAGGCAACAAAAUAGCUUCUUUGAUAGGGAGGGAGGCAGCUAUGCCGGCUAAGGCGUCGGCGCGCCCAUUUUCAGUUCGUUUGAUUUUUUCGAUUGUCCAUUCGGUGAAUCGCUGUAAGGUGUCCCUUACUUUAGUCAGAUAUCGAGUCAUGUGUGCGUCCUUGGCCUCGUAUUCCUUCUGGACGUGUCUUACCACGAGUUGCGAAUCGCUAUAGACCCAGAGUUUGGAGACUGAUAGAGCCAGGGCAAGGUCUAAUCUGGAUAGGAUGGCUUUAUAUUCUGCUUCAUUGUUGGAGGCGGGGAAUCCCAGCCGGAUGGCUUGCUCCAGAUGUUCCCCUGUUGGGGAUUGUAGCAGAAGCCCGAUUUCGGACCCUGAUGAUCGUGAGGCUCCAUCAACUCGCAAAGUCCACCACUCUUUUUCACUUGAUUCCUGGCGUUGGCUAGGCCUUCGGGAAUAUUCCAGCACGAAGUCAGCCAUUACUUGGCCUUUCAUGGACAAUCUAGGUUGGAAUUCGAUUUCAAACUCGCUCAAUUCGAUGGCCCAUUGCAGCAUUCGUCCGGUUAAGUCUGGCUUGUGCAGGAUGUUACGAAGGGGUUGGUCUAUUAGCACGACCACCGAAUGGGCUUGGAAAUAGGGGCGGAGCUUCUGGACAGCGCUUCGAAGGGCUAAGGUUGUUAGCUCCAUUUUUGAAUACCUGGUUUCUACGUCCGCCAAUGCUCUGCUGACGUAGUAGAUUGGUUUCUGCUCCUUGGGUGAGGGGCAGCGGAAUAGAACAGCGCUGAUUGCCCACUCCGAUACAGCCAGAUACAUGUACAAUUUUUCUUUUGGAAUGGGACUGCUUAGGAUGGAUGGCUGCGUAAGACAGUGUUUAAUCUUUUCAAAAGCGUUUUGACAGCUGUCCGUCCAUUCGUUUGCUUCAGCUUUUCGAAUUGCCAAGAAGAAGGGUCGUAAUUCAUCAGUGAAGCGAGCUAUAAAACGUCCUAGCGCGACGAGCUUGCCUGUGAGACGUUGUAACUCCUUCUUGUUCCUGGGUGGUGGUGUUUCUACGACUGCCUUGACUUGAUCUGGGCUGACCUCUAUGCCUCUUUGGCUGACCAUAAAUCCCAAUAAUUUGCCAGCGCUUAUGCCAAAGGCGCAUUUAGAAGGAUUUAGCUUCAUAUCAUACCUCCUUAAGAGGUGAAAGACUUCUUGUAAGUGAAGAACAUGCUCCUUUCGGGUUUUGCUUUUAACCACGAUAUCAUCAAUAUAUACCUCUACCGUGUAGCCUAUCAGAGGUUUGAAGAUCUUUGUCAUUAGUCUCUGAUAAGUGGCGCCAGCGUUUUUGAGCCCGAAGGGCAUGACUCUGUAGCAAUAGAGGUCGUGUGGCGUUAUGAAGGCUGUUUUUUCCUCGUCAGCCGGGGACAUGGGGAUUUGGUGAUAUCCGGAAAAGGCAUCCAAGAAAGAAAGCAUCCCCUGCCCAACAGUGGAAUCCACAAUUUGAUCUAUUCGUGGCAAAGGGAAACUGUCUUUUGGACAUGCAUUAUUGAGAUUGGUGUAAUCGACGCACACCCGCCAUUUUCCUUCUUUUUUGGGUACCACCACUACGUUUGCUAACCAGUCCAGAUAAUCUACUUCUCUGAUGAAUCCGGCUUCUAGCAAUUUGUCAACCUCAUUCCGGAUGACUCUUUGUCUGUCCAGGUGAAAAAGCCUAACUUUCUGUCGAACGGGUCUGGCAGUUGGUAAGACGUUAAGGCUGUGAGAGGUAAUAGAGGGAUGAAUUCCCUUCAUAUCAGAAUGUGCCCAUGCGAAGAUGUCAUGGUUCCGUCUGAGGGCGUUUUGCAUGCUCUGGGUUUCUUCUGGUGUCAUGAGGGAACUGAUAUUUGUUAAGUGAAUACCUUCUUGUGAGAUUUGGAUUGUUUGCAAGGGAUCCGCUGCCGGGGGACCUUUGUCCGUCGGCCCCAAUAAUUGCUAUUGAUCAGGUACAUGGCUGGACUCAGGGAGGGAUGCCUCCUCCUGGCUGGUCCCUGCUUCUCGUGCUAUCUGGUAGCAUUGGCGAGCGGCUAACUGGCUGCCAUAGAGGUCAAUUUGCCCAUCGUUGGUGAGGAAACUCACCAUUUGAUGAUAUGUAGAGAGGAUGGCUUUCAUGUAGUGUAGCCAUGUGCGCCCCAAGAUGACAUUGAAGGGUGAUAACUCUUGUACCACCGAAAAUUGCACGUUGAGAGUAAUUGGGUCAGCUUAGACCGACAGUAUAAUGUCUCCCAAGGACGUAGUUGACGACCCGUUGAAUCCGGACAGGAUUCGUCCAAGGUUUUCUAGGCCUGUGAGACUGUGUCCCAUGUGGCCAACGACCGAUGCUUGCACAAGAUCGACCGAGCUGCCUGGGUCAACCAGGAUAUGUCUCACAUCGAAGUCUCCUAUCUCUAGGGACAGGAUGAGGGCGUUGCGAUGUGGCUGUAGUGUCCGGGUGGGAUCUACUGGUGGGAAAAUGAUUGUCCCAUUUAUGGGGCGAGGGCCCCCUCCAGUUAGUCCAGGCCAGAUGGAAUUGAUGCGUUCGCGUAUUGAUGCGGCUCGCAACAAUUUCUGCCUUUUCCGCCUAGAGUCAUACUCCUCAUCAUAUGGGUCUCCGUUAAUAUAGUUUAUAACGGCCUUGGGGGCGGCUGGGGCCCUGGGGGCUCCAGAGUUGUGGUGUUGGGAAGCACCCCUACCCCCGGCAUCUGAGCAGAGGUACUGCUUUAAAUGUCCUGCUUUGAUGAGCCUCUCGACCAGAUACUGGAGGCACCUGCAUGUCUCUGUUGUGUGACCAUGUUCCUUGUGGAAGGCACAUCUCUUGCUAUGAUCUCUUGUGGAUGGGUCCAUUCCGAUGGGUCUAGGCCACUUGAAGUCGGCCAAACCUUGGAUCAUCGAGAGAAGUUUCUCAUAUGAUAUGGAAAGAGGUGUGAGAAGCGGCCUUUCCGGGCGACUUGGCCCUUCCUGCCUUCGGUCAGACGGCCUUGGCCGGUCCGGAAGUUUAGCAUUUCUUUCCGCGCCACCUCUAGAUGCCUGUCAGCAACUAGGACUUGCUGGGUGGCUGCCCGUACGUCAUCUUCGAGCAUUGAAUACUUGUUGGCACGUCUAAACAAGUCGUCCAUCGUUGUAGGAGGCUUUUUGGCUAGCGAUUCGAAAAAUGGGGUGCCCGGACAGAUGCUUCGCUUGAAGAUCUGCAGGACAGCAUCCAUGCUGCAAGCCUCUACCUGAAGUACGACUUGACCAAACCGCUUCACGAAUUCCCUUAAGGAUUCGUUAUCUUGCAUUUUAAUGUUCUUCAGAGUGCUGAUGUUCUGCUUGUGUCGAGCGGAGCACAAGUAUUGUCCCAAGAAAGCUUCAGACAGGUCCCUGAAAUUGCCAACAGAGUUGGGAGGUAGGCGAUGAAACCAUGAGAGGGCCUGCCCUUGUAGGCUGACGGGAAAUACUUUGCACAGCAGUGCGUCGUUGCCAAUAUCGAGCGUCAUGAGCUGUCGAUAAUGAAUGAUAUGGUCGAAGGGGUCGCUGGACCCAUCGUAUGUGGAGAAUUUUGGUACGAGGAAUCCCCUUGGGGGCUCGUAAUGAAUGAUAUGAGAGCAGAAAGGCGUGGAGAGCAUGUCGUCCAGCCUUUUACUGAUGGAGCCAAUGGGUGGUUCACUUGGGAGGUUUCUCCCUACUGGUGGUACCGCUAGGUGCGAGUGAACGUUCCGCACCAUGGGGGUGACCAUGGGGUCACGGUGCGGGAGCACGUUUUGCACCAUGGGGGUGACCAUAGGGUCAGGGCGUGGUGCCCAAGUUGUGGCUACUGGUGGCCUUGAUCUUCCAGGCUCUUGUGGGCCUAGUCUUGCGCGCAUUGAAUUUGACAACUGAGACUUUCUAUCACGUUGUCUUUUUGCUGAAAAAUGAGUAGAGUUUGAGCUUUCCUCACGGGGAGCUCGAGACAUAGGCGUGUGUGGCUCAUGAGGCCUCACAUUGCAUGCUUCUAGGAUAGCUCCUACUGUUCCAGGAUAUAUUGAUUCUGGUUCUGGCCUUGAGUUUGCUACUUGGCCUCUUGAAUGCUGACGACGAGGAGGCCCUGAUGUUGAAGCUUGGAUGCGUAAUACUGCGUUUUCUUCUCUUAAUCUUUCUGUCUCUUGGAGGAGAGCUUUCAGUUGUCGUUCGCUUGCCAACUGUCUUCUUUCGAUGGCUUGACGCCAUUCAGAAUUAUCUUCCUCUCCCCUACCAGAUGAUUUUUUUGGUAGGAUGAACGGCUUCGGGAAGAUUUGGCCAUCUUUGCUAGUGACUGAAUCAAUGAAAAAUGUUCCCACAGAUGGCGCCAAUGUUGAGGCUUCGCGUCCCUGGUGAUCCACGUAGUUGCCAAAUGGAUGGGCACACAAUCUCAACCAAUAUGGAUUCUUGACUCAGUCGUUCUACCUGCAAAAGGCGUCCGGACAGGGUGUCUGAACGCACCCUCAGAUGGUUUUGCCAGCCAUGGUUAGAGAGAGAGAUAAAUCAGUUGGCCUUUUGCUAGGUAUAGAAAAGUUUACCUUCCUCUUUGUGUGAAGGCUUAUAUAUAUAGUAUCAGAAACUUUGUUUCCUUCAUUAAUGGUAGGGAGAUAUUUUGUAUUGUCAUGAUGACACUAGGUGGUGGCAGGGCCAUCAUCACCCUACGAGUUGCUGAUAGAGAUCGUGGUAGGUGAUGCGACUGUCAGAGUUUGUGGUAGGUGAUCGUGUGAAGUGAUCGUAGGAAGUGACUUGUUGUCACUUCAUCUUGUCCUUUCACUCUGCAGGUGGCGAAACGUGGGUCAUGGCAAGCUGUUGUGAUAACGUGCGAGACUUGCUUACUUCAGUCAAUGAUCCAAACAAACAUAUCCGGAUGGCCUAUGUUGGUCGUCUGGAUGCAUUUGUGGAAGUCGUCCGGAUGUUAUGCUUAUGAGUGUCGUGUGCCUCUCCUUGAGGUAGUCCGGAUAGGAGAAGCGUACCACGUGUACUUUUAGGGAAAUCCGGAUGAGGUUGAUCCGGAUGAGAAUGUGUGUCACGCGUCACCAGGAGAUGUGUGCCACGUGGUAUCAGAGGGAGGGGGUCCCCACAGAAGGGCCAUCAUGCCACAAACCGAUUGAAGAGAUUGAAGAGGCCGGGGGAGAAGAUUGGGAUAAGCUUUGUAAGAUCAUGUGUUAAUGCUUAUUUCAAGCUUAAAAGAAGCUUACACAUGCCAAUUGCCAUACUCAUAAAGGGCUGGGGGACAACUUUUGCUGUGUAUACAAUAAUGACCUUCCUUGGUUUCAUGUAUUGGAAUUUGCCACCCACAUUCUCACAACUGGAGAUGAAGGCCAAGUUUCUUGGUUGCUCGUUCUCAAGUAUGUUUGUUUUUAAUUUCUUUUUUUGUUCAUGUUUUAAGUUUUCCUAUGGUUGCCGUAGUUUUCAAAUUUGUAUAUUUAUAUUAUUUCUUUACUUUUGAAGUGAUGUAAUUUGAAAUUUCAUAAGUUUGUCUUGAAAUGAAAUGAUUUAUGGAUAUUGAAUCUCAAUUUCUUUUUUAUUUGUUUUCAUUUAACCAUGCAUUAUUUUUUUCCUUGGCCAAAAUUCUCUUUAAUGAAUAGGAGGAUAAGGGAUGUCCUAUUUUUGUUACAAGGCUAAGACGUACAGCAAAUUCCUAAAUCAAUGGAUUACAAAAGUGGCACAUCUAUUCUUUUUGUUUUUUGUUUUCAAAAUUUUUUAUUUUUUUAUUUAUAAUUCAACCAAGGAAUAAAAAACUAAAUAUUAUAAUAAAAAUAAAUAUUAUUUUUAUAACAAUGAGUAUGCAGAUUGAAAUAUGGUUAUGCUUUUGCUUGGACCUGGGCCUGUAUAUUUAAGCCCAGUCGGGUUCAGCCCAACAUAGUUAACCUUACUUCUUGUUUCGGUUGAGUGGAUUCAGCGGAUGUGAUGUUAUGUCAGGCAAAUUGCAAUAUUAUAUAAAAUUAAAAAUAUUUAUGUGACGUAUUUAUUUAAUAACAAUAUAUUCUAAAUUUUUUUGCCCUUUAGUCACUAUUGUAUAUAGUUACUAGAAACUCUCUUUACAUUGAUAUAUAUACAAUUUUUUUUCUUAUAAUUUGUAAAUAAAAUUCAAAUUUCUAAAGAUUAUUAUAUAAUUUUUCAUUAGUUUGUAUGUAAUCCUAAUCUAACCGUAAAAUACGAUAAAAAUCAUAAAAAUUUCAAAUUUUCAAAUUAAAAAGUCUGUUAUUUGAUUAACUAUCUAAUUAUAGUGAUAUAAGUAGUUUUUAUUAUUUUCAUCAAUUAUCUUCCCUCAAAAUAUUUCUUAUUUUAAUUCUUGAUUUACAUUUUUAAGCAAUGAUUUAACUUUAAUUUUUCAUAUUCUAAUUUUUCGUACAAUUAUACCCACGUAUCAUAUUUUUAAUUUUUCAUAAAACAAUAUUUUCCCUUGAUAAACAACUAAUGUCCAUUUUUGUUUUCUAUAUUUUUCCCAAACAUCCAAUGGUUGAAUGAUUUAUACCGAGUUGAUUAGUCAAUUUAGAAAUUGAGAAUACUUUUAUAGUUUUAUAGUUUUAUAUCGAGUUGAAGAGAAAGGUAAAAGGCUUCUUUGGGAGCUCUUCUUGAGAAUACUUUAAUAAUUGAAAAAAGUCGUGUAUAUAUAUAUAUAUUGAUAAUUAAUUCCAAAAAUAAGUUCUUGUUAUAACAAAUUCGAGAAAUUGAGUUUUAAAAUAAAUUUUAGGUAUUUUAGGGUGUGUUUUUUUAGAACAUUGUAAAAAACAUUUAAAAUAUAUAAUAUUUUCAUAAAAAUAAAUCAAAAUAUUUUUAUUUAAAAUUUUAAAUAAAUUUUAUUCUCAAAAUAACUGAAAACUACUUUUAAAAACUAGAGUUUAUGAAAAUAAUAUUUAAAAAAAAAAAAAACUAUAGGAAUAAGGUAGCAUUGAAAAUAAUUAUCAAUUUCCUCAUUUGCUUCCCAAUUUCCAAAUAUGCUCUCUCCCUCACUCACGAACUAGUAGUGUUGGUUCUAUAAUUCAUAUUUACAAUAAAACAAACAUUAGCACUUACAAUUUUAUUUCAUAUACUAAAACCAAUUUUAGUUUAUAAAAGUUCGCACUAAAACCAACAUUGGUAAAUGCAUUUUUAUUUUAUAUACUAAAACCAACAUUAUCAAUGUUUAUUUUUCGUGUAUAAAAUUUCAUACUAAAACAAACAUCAAUGAUCGUGAUUUUAUGACGAAGAUUAAUGAAAAAAAAAACUUCCAUACAUAUCAAUAAAAAGCAAUAUUUUGAUAAUUAUUUUGACAACCACCUUGUUCCUGUAUUUUUUUUUUCUAACAUUAUUUCUUUCACAUGCUCUAAAAACUAUUCUUAGGUAUAGCUUAAUGUAUACUCAUUUAACCAAAUAUGAAUAUGAACAUGAACUUAACUUUCAUGUCAAAUUCUUCUCCAUGUUAAAAAUAUUUAUAUUUUAAUCCUUCUUAUUUAAUAUAAAAAUAAAAUAUUUAAAAAUAUAUAAAAUUUUAAAUAAUGUUUAUUAAAUAUGAUUUUUCCUUUAGGUUAUAUUUAGUUACCGGAAAAUACUAAGGAAAGAAGAAAAAAUACAAAGAAAAAUGAUUUUUUCAUAUUUUGUUGUCUUAUGAAAAUAUCAAAGAAAAUCAAAUAUAAUUAAAAUUAAUUAAAAACUUAUGUAUUUUUAAAUUAUUUAAUCUUUAUAUUGAUGAGUUAAAAUAAAGAAACUGAGUUUGAAAUAACAAAAAAAUAAUUUAUUAACUUUUAAUUUAUUUUUUUAUUUUCCUUUAUUUUUUCUUUCUUUUUAUUUUUUCUUUGUAUUUUCUUUCCCUUACAUUUUCUUUCAAAUUUUAUGGGAACCAAACAUAGCAUUAUAUUUUUCACUUUUAUAUCUCUUAAAUGCUACAUAAGUAAACUCUUUUGCCUUUGUAUUUUUUUUAUAAUAAAAAAUACUGAAAAAUAAUUAUUUUCUUGGUGAAUGAGUUUUCUUUUUCAAACUUUAUUUUCUUUGUGUUUUCUGUUGAUCUUCAUCCGCCCAAAAGUCCAAACUCACCUUUUGAAAUAACUUGAACACAUUACCACAUACGUGUUUUGUUAUAUCAUCAAAGAUUAUUUGGAAUAGAUCAUUAAGGAAAAAAUUUAAAUUUAAGUCUUUUACUUGAUUAAAUAUCCAAUUUUAGUAAUAUAAUUAGUCUUUAUUAUCUUCACCAAUUAUCUUCCCUCCAAAUAUUUCUUAUUUUAAUUCUUAAUUUGCAUUUUUGAACAAUAAUUUUUACUCUAAUUUAUCAUACUUUAAUUUUUCAUACUACUAUACUCUUUUAUGUUCAUAAGGUAGUAUUCUUCCUUGAAACACAACUAAUAUCCACCUCUCUCUUUUUUAAAAUUAUCUUAAACAUUUAUUUUUCUAUAUUUUCCCUAGCAUCAAAGAGUUCAAUACUUUACAUCAAGUUGAUUAGUCAAUUUAGAAAAGCUACCAAAAAAUAUUGAAAAUUUAGAGAAAAAAAAAACCACCAAAAAAUGUUGAAAAUUCUAUUUUAUUUUCAAAGAUAGAAUAGAACAUGAAUACAUAUACAUCUUUACUUUUAUUUUCUUGUUGAAUCUUCCAAUGAGGUAAAUCUUAUGAUGUGAAAUUGUUCAGAGUUCAUUUUUAAUUUUUCUUCACUUUUAUUCAUUCCUAACACGAAGUUGAGUUGAUCCGAUAAAAUAUAAAAUAGGAUAAGUAAAGAAAAAAAAAUAUCAUAUCCAAGUGAUAGGAUGAUAGUAUAAGUUAUUAUGUACUAAUCCUAUUUGUUAUUUCUCACUAUACCACAUAUUUUAUUUGAUAUAAUGCCUAAAGAUAUUAUAAUUAAUAAAAAAUCAUAUUUUAAGAUAUGCAUUUUCAGUCUAUCUUAUUCUAUCUUUUUAUAUCCUCUCUCAUAGUACAAUGAAAUCUUAUCUUCAAACACGAGUUAUGACAUUGUCCAGAUUUUAUUUUUGAAUUUCCUUUGCUUCCAAAUAUACCAUAGUUUUGUCCAACUAUUUCAAAAAAUACAAAGUGAGAAUUAAGUGAGAAAUCUUCUCUUAAAGAGAUGAUUUCCACAACCAAAAAAAAAAAAUUAUUCUCACUUUAAAAAAAAAAACACCUAAGUGGGAAAUCGUCUCUUAGAAGAGACGAUUUUCCACAAAAAAAAAAAAUAAAUAAAUAAAUUCUCACUUUAAAAUUAUAUAAAAAAAAUUAAAGAGAUGAUUUUAAAAAAUAAAAAUUAAAUUCUCACUUAAAAAAAAAACACCUAAGUGGGAAAUCAUCCCUUAAAGAGAAUUUCCACACAAAAAAAUUUAAAUUAUCACUUUAAAAUUAAUAAAUAAAUAAAUAAAAACCAUUUAAGGGACGAUUUCCACGCAAAAGUCACCAUCCCCACGAAAAGCCAAACCUUUAAAAAUCCACUUUUUUCAUUGUUUAUUAUAUUUAUACAAAAAUACAAUUAUUAUAAAUAUAUGUGUGAACCCCGCAUUUUCGAGCUCAAUGCGUUUCCCACUCCAUGGCGAGCUUGAUUUAUUAUUUUGAAAAAUUGAUUUUUAUUGAUUAUUUGAAAAUGACUUGGAGUCGCCACUUAUUUUUGUUUUAUUUUUAAAAGGGUAAACAAAAUAAGAAAGAAAAACCCUAAGUGUGACUCCUUAUUUUGGAAAAGACGGUCUGUGAAAAAACCGGAUCGGGUUCGGGGGUCAGGUUACUUAUUGGGAAGGUACGGUAUGGACCGUAGCACCCCUCUAAGUCCCUAAAGUCGGGUCUCUACUAAUAGAAUGAAGCUGACAUGACAAUCAAUGAGAAAAUCAAUGAAUACUCAAAUCAAAUCAUGCACAUAUGAGUAUCAGAAUAUGCAAUAGAGGAUAACUGAAGUGGAAGUGGAUGCGUACCUGAUCAGCAAACGGUAACGCGCUAUCACAAAAUGAGAUUAGUGCAUAGUAAUGAACAUAAAGUAUGUCACUCAUGUCACCAAAACAGAUAAAGCAGCACUAAUAGCACACAUGAUAUUUCAUUCAAAAUUCAUUUUUAUUUUAAAGCAAAUUUAUUUGAUGUAGGGCCCCCACCAAAGCCCGUUUAUUUUGCAUGAAUCAAUUCCAUAAAUUCCAUCACUUGGAAUUACGGAAUUUAAUUCUUACUUAUUUUAAAAAAUAUUUUAAAAACAAAGAAAAUGCAAAAGUGGCUUGCCGGAAGGAACAUGGCAACCAAAUUUUAUUGAAAAUGGGAUUUCGGUAUCCAAAAAUUCUAAGGAUGAAAGCUUUGGAGACUUGAAGUUAUUUAAAAACCGGAAUUUAGGAAGUUAUUUACAAAAUGAAGUUUGGGAAAAUCUUUUUCAAAUUCAAAGAGAAUUGGAGAAAAGGAAACUGACACGUGGCUCCUGAGUUGCAUGCCAAAGGUGGCCAUGCAAAACAGGUCGUGCUUUGAGGAAAGAGAAUGGGCCUAGGGUGCAAAUGAACUGGCCACUGAACCACAGUAUUAAACACGCAACUGCAGGUGAUCAACUUGUUGGCUGAGAUAAACCAUUGAUGUCAAAAGAGGAAUUUCCAUUGGAGUUCACGUCCCUCAAUAUCCCCUUCGAGCUCAGAUUAUUGAAUAUUGGGACCCGCCUUGAGAUGAUGGACCUCCAGUGGUAAGAUAGGAAUUUCCCAGCAUAGAAAUCACCUGUAGAAGUGCUCAUCAUAGAGGAUCCUCCACCAAAGUUGAUGCUCCACCCCAUGUCGCCUCCACCAACAAUAUGGCUUUUUGAUUUCAGCUCUCAAUGAAGCUUAGCACGUGCUUCACGUUGCAAGUAGGAGUGAAAGCACCGAGAACACAGAAAAUGAUGACCUUCUUACCUGCAGCCAGGGAGUGUACUGAAGCCUGCUAGCGUAUCAGACGCACCAAAACCACGACAGUCAAUAGCUUAGACAAUCUGAAUUUCAGCCAGCAUCACCUUAUCUCUCGGCUGAAUUAGUUGUCCCAUGUAACUUUCCUCAGUUUCGCUCAUGGUUCAAAGUCGCGGUAUCGGUCACUGACUCGGAGGGUCCCGAGGCGUAUCGGUCUCGGUGUAUCGGCCUGGUAUCGGGUGAUACGUAAAAUAAGCUAAUUAGAAAAUUCAAAAAAAUAUAAAAAUAUUAUGUAAAUCAUCAGAAAAAUAUAUACAAUUAAAUAAGCUAAAAAAAUUAAAAAAAUAAAAUUGUCUCACAUUUAACAUUAUUUAAAUAGUUAUAAAAGUAUCUACUCAAAGUUAUUUAUGAUAAUGCUAAUAAAAAGAAAGUUAUUUUAUUUCAAAUAUAAUAACAUUUUUACUAACAACACAUACAAUACAACAAUCAAUUCCAUGUUGAAUGACGAGGGGGUUCAAAAUCAUCAUCAUAAUCAGUCUUACGACGAGCAUACAAAUUGGGGUGGCAAUUCCCGUAGUAAGGAUAUGAUUGAAAGAGUGGUUCAUAACUCAAAUAUGGUGGGUGAGAUGAUUCGCUUGAUGAUCCAUAAUUAGGAAAAUAUGGUUUCGAAGGCUGUUCGGGAUCAACACCAGCUUGAUAGUAUCCAAAACCUCGAUAAGCAAUGCUACUGCUACUAGAAGAUUGAUCAUAUCCAUAUGAGUCACUAGCUCGUGUUCCAGUAUUUGAAUAUCCCUCUGGAUGCAUCAUUGGAAAUUGAUUAAAAUCAUUUCUACUAAAAGUACUGGAAGAGCUAUCACGGUCUCUAAAGUUUUGAUAUGAUCUAUCAUCUACCCCUCUGAAAUAUGGCCUUGAUCCUAUACCCAAAUUUUGUAAGUGCUCAUCAAUACGGUGAUGAUUUGAUCUAUGAUAAUCAUGCCCACUAGAAUAAUCAUCAUCGCUGGGAAAUGUAGUUAGUCUUUCCAAAUGCUUUCGUUGUUNNNNNNNNNNNNNNNNNNNNNNNNNNNNNNNNNNNNNNNNNNNNNNNNNNNNNNNNNNNNNNNNNNNNNNNNNNNNNNNNNNNNNNNNNNNNNNNNNNNNNNNNNNNNNNNNNNNNNNNNNNNNNNNNNNNNNNNNNNNNNNNNNNNNNNNNNNNNNNNNNNNNNNNNNNNNNNNNNNNNNNNNNNNNNNNNNNNNNNNNNNNNNNNNNNNNNNNNNNNNNNNNNNNNNNNNNNNNNNNNNNNNNNNNNNNNNNNNNNNNNNNNNNNNNNNNNNNNNNNNNNNNNNNNNNNNNNNNNNNNNNNNNNNNNNNNNNNNNNNNNNNNNNNNNNNNNNNNNNNNNNNNNNNNNNNNNNNNNNNNNNNNNNNNNNNNNNNNNNNNNNNNNNNNNNNNNNNNNNNNNNNNNNNNNNNNNNNNNNNNNNNNNNNNNNNNNNNNNNNNNNNNNNNNNNNNNNNNNNNNNNNNNNNNNNNNNNNNNNNNNNNNNNNNNNNNNNNNNNNNNNNNNNNNNNNNNNNNNNNNNNNNNNNNNNNNNNNNNNNNNNNNNNNNNNNNNNNNNNNNNNNNNNNNNNNNNNNNNNNNNNNNNNNNNNNNNNNNNNNNNNNNNNNNNNNNNNNNNNNNNNNNNNNNNNNNNNNNNNNNNNNNNNNNNNNNNNNNNNNNNNNNNNNNNNNNNNNNNNNNNNNNNNNNNNNNNNNNNNNNNNNNNNNNNNNNNNNNNNNNNNNNNNNNNNNNNNNNNNNNNNNNNNNNNNNNNNNNNNNNNNNNNNNNNNNNNNNNNNNNNNNNNNNNNNNNNNNNNNNNNNNNNNNNNNNNNNNNNNNNNNNNNNNNNNNNNNNNNNNNNNNNNNNNNNNNNNNNNNNNNNNNNNNNNNNNNNNNNNNNNNNNNNNNNNNNNNNNNNNNNNNNNNNNNNNNNNNNNNNNNNNNNNNNNNNNNNNNNNNNNNNNNNNNNNNNNNNNNNNNNNNNNNNNNNNNNNNNNNNNNNNNNNNNNNNNNNNNNNNNNNNNNNNNNNNNNNNNNNNNNNNNNNNNNNNNNNNNNNNNNNNNNNNNNNNNNNNNNNNNNNNNNNNNNNNNNNNNNNNNNNNNNNNNNNNNNNNNNNNNNNNNNNNNNNNNNNNNNNNNNNNNNNNNNNNNNNNNNNNNNNNNNNNNNNNNNNNNNNNNNNNNNNNNNNNNNNNNNNNNNNNNNNNNNNNNNNNNNNNNNNNNNNNNNNNNNNNNNNNNNNNNNNNNNNNNNNNNNNNNNNNNNNNNNNNNNNNNNNNNNNNNNNNNNNNNNNNNNNNNNNNNNNNNNNNNNNNNNNNNNNNNNNNNNNNNNNNNNNNNNNNNNNNNNNNNNNNNNNNNNNNNNNNNNNNNNNNNNNNNNNNNNNNNNNNNNNNNNNNNNNNNNNNNNNNNNNNNNNNNNNNNNNNNNNNNNNNNNNNNNNNNNNNNNNNNNNNNNNNNNNNNNNNNNNNNNNNNNNNNNNNNNNNNNNNNNNNNNNNNNNNNNNNNNNNNNNNNNNNNNNNNNNNNNNNNNNNNNNNNNNNNNNNNNNNNNNNNNNNNNNNNNNNNNNNNNNNNNNNNNNNNNNNNNNNNNNNNNNNNNNNNNNNNNNNNNNNNNNNNNNNNNNNNNNNNNNNNNNNNNNNNNNNNNNNNNNNNNNNNNNNNNNNNNNNNNNNNNNNNNNNNNNNNNNNNNNNNNNNNNNNNNNNNNNNNNNNNNNNNNNNNNNNNNNNNNNNNNNNNNNNNNNNNNNNNNNNNNNNNGAAGAAAUUGUUCUAGAAGCCUUACCUUUAUGACGGGAAUCAACAUCUCUUUCUCUACCUUCUUCAUUAGUGGGAAGACCUUUAUCCAACCAAUCCAAAUUAUCAGAUGAUAAAAUAGGCUUCUCUCCUUCUCGUAUCCACUCAUCUAAUAUAUCAUCAUCAUUAAAGAUAUGAUUCAGAUCAAUUGGAUUGUAUAAAUCUUCAUUGCUUCGCUCUUGCAUCAAAUUCUUAACUCGAAGUCGCAUAUUGUAGUGCACAUAAACUAACUUAUGCAACUUUUUCAUUGCCAAACGGUUGCGCAACUUUGUGUGAAUCAAUGACCAUGUGCUCCAAUUUCUUUCACAACCUGAUGAAGAACAAGUUUGGCUUAAAAUUUUAACAGCAAUCUUUUGUAGAUGUGGACCUUCGUCGCCAUAGUUGUUCCACCAUUCAGCUAUAAUAAAGAAAAUGCAUACUUAUUAAUCACUAUGAUAUAUUUAACAAAAAAUGAUGAUAACUUCUUAUUUGUAAUAGACAUAAAUGUAUUAAGUACCUGGAAGAGAUUGAUUUAUUGCUUUCUUUGUGAGUGCACUUCCAAAUUCUCCUUGGCCGUCAACAAAUAAUUUCACCUACAUCAUUAACAAUUUUUUUUUUUGUUAAUGCACAUUACAUAUACAAAAUGCAUUAUAUAAAGGUCACAAACUAUUAUUAUACCUCAUUAAUAGCUUUUGCUUGUCUAUCCAAAUCUGGCUCUAAUCUCUUGAUAACCUCCUUUAAUCCAACUUUAAUUUCCGGAUGGUUGGAGAAAUGCUUUGAAUAUUGGAACAUUGGAUUUAAAAAAUAUGCUGCCAUAAGUUAAAUAAUGAUCAGUUUAUAAUAAUUUGUACUUAAAAAAAUUAAUAAAAAAUAUAUAAAGAGUUUUUUUAUUACCUGCAGCAUGCAAAUGUCUGUGCAAUUGACAUUCCCACCUUCUAUCAAUGACUUCCCAAUACUUUUCCCAUUGCUUGACCGAUGCCUUGAUAGCCAAUUUAGCUCUAUCCAUUGCUUCAUAAAUGAUUGAUAGUGUGGGCUUUUUAUCUUGAUCAACCAAUUUCAAUACUUUGACGAGAGGUUCCAUGAUGGUUUGAACUUCUUCGGCCUUCUUCCAAAAUCGAUCAGUUAAGAUAAGGUUGGAUACCUUAUCUCUUACACUUUUUCUGCUCCUAUCUUUAUUGAAUUCACGCCACUCAUUUGUUGUGCACAUUCUCUUCAAAUCAGCCUCAUAACGUAAAAGACUCUCAAGUGAAAUGAAUUCAGUGGCAAAACGGGNNNNNNNNNNNNNNNNNNNNNNNNNNNNNNNNNNNNNNNNNNNNNNNNNNNNNNNNNNNNNNNNNNNNNNNNNNNNNNNNNNNNNNNNNNNNNNNNNNNNAAACAAAUGCUUUCGCUCUCCAUCAACAACAUGCCGGCUGCUUUAAAACUGCUUCAUUAUCAGUGACUACUUGACAACAUUUUCCUCCCCAACUUCCUCUACAACUUUAUCCAUAAGGGAAAAGAUGUAGUCUGCUGUCUUAGGUAUGUUGGUAGUGUCAACUGAAGAAUGGUAUAUCAUACUUCUAUCACAAUAAAUCAUGAAAUUGAUGAUAGGCUUUCUAGUUCUAGAACUCCAACCAUCACACAUGAUUGUGCACCCAUAUAUAGACCAUUUAGCCUUCAAUGUUGUUAUGUAUACCUCAAGUUCUUGCACCUCCUCUUCUAAAUAUGUAUUUCCAAUUUGGUAUCCCGUGGGACCCUUGAUGCCUGGACCUGCUUCUGCUAUGGUAUCAAUCAUUGAUUGAUAGUAAGGCCCACUGUCAGCUGCAUUAAAGGGUAUUGCAUUAAAGAGAAAGAAUUUAGAAAUAGUUUUACCCACUUUCUUCACGCCUUCAGUAGAAAACAAGCUUUUUAUUGAUUUCUGCUUUGAUGGGAACAUGUAGGGAUCAAUUCCUUUUGGAGGUAUGCUAGCUCCUUCUCUUACACUGAAGCUACGUGUCAGUCCGCGCUUAAUCCUAGCAUUAGAAGGUUGUGAGGAACUACCACCCUGCUGAUGCUCUUGUCCACCUUCUUCAAAAAUUCGACGACUUUCUUUCAUUGCUUGUUUCAUUUGUCUUCUUUCAAAAUCAGCCAUAGCAACUUCCUCAAUUUCAUCAUCAGAAUCACCCUCAUCAAUUUCAUAGAAAUUAUCUCUAUUUAAGGAAUUCAAAAGUCGUUCUUUUUUUUUCUUUAACUGUGCUUUUUCUUUUGAAGUAUUAGACAUAUGUUGUCUAACACUAUGUGACACUUCUACCGGUACACGUGGACAUCCUUCCACUUGUCCAGAUAUAUAUGCGAUGUGUUGCUUUAAUCUUGUUAUACCGCCAUGUAUAACUUUCCCACAAUAUUUACACUUUGUGGUUCUUCUACUACCACCAACAGGUUCUGCAUGCUCCCAACCAAUAUCAUGUUUUGAAGCCAUUUUGAAAUUUUAACCUAACCAUGUAUAAAAGGAAAACAAUUUACUUUUCAAAUUGAAUAUAUAUAAACACAUUUAUAUAAAAAUUAUAAUAUUCAAUUUUCCACUCACUUAUAUGUUUCAUAUUGUUGCCAUAUAAAAAUAAAUUGUACUAAAAAAGCAAUAAACAUGAUCUCACCUAAGUUCAUCAUCUUUUGUUUUCCACUUAUUUAUAUGUUUUUUAAAUUAAAAUCAAUGUAAUUGACCAUGUAAAUGCAUACCCUUCAUUCCGUAUUAUUAAAUCAUUUAUGAUUAUUUGAAGAAAAAAAUUUCAAUAAUGAUUAAUUUUGUAUAGUAAUUUAAUUUUGCGAUAUAGUAUUAAUGUAAUUGAGUAAUAGGGAAAUUUUUUGUCACUAAUAUAAUCUAAAUUUAUUUAUACUAAUAGAAAAUUGAGUGAUAUUUUUAAAGUAUUCAAGACAAUUUCUUGUACAUUAUAUUUUUAAAAAUUUUAAAAUUCAUGAAACAAUUUAAAAUUAUUAAUUAUGUCUUAUUUAGUUUAUAAGACAUAUAGGAAUAAUAUUUGAAAAUAAAUAAUAUAUUAUAUAUAGCAACAAUAUUAAACCAUAUAUAGAGAGUAUAUAUAUUAAUUUGAAAAGGAAUAACAUAUUAUAUAUAUGAUAUUAUAAUAAAAUCAUAGGUUUAUUUUAUUUUAUUUUAUUUUUAUAAAAAAAAUAUUAUUUUAGCAUAUGUUAGAAACAUAAAAAUAUUAACAUCUUUAUCAUUUUUUGGGUUAAAAAUUAAUAAUAAAUAUUUAAACUAAUAAUUUUUCAUAAUAUUUUAUUUAAAUUGAAUAAUUAAUAAAGUUUAACUUUUUAAAAAUGAGUCAAAAUUUUCAUUCCAUGUACUCAUUUAGAAUUGAAUUAUCAACAUAAUAUUAUAAAAAAAUUAUUUUAUAUGUAAUUAAUUAGAUUGGUUUUUUAAUUUCAAAAUUAUUUUUAAAAAUUAAAAAAUUCAUGAAAUAAUUUAAAACUAUUAAUUAUAUCUUAUUUAGUAUUUGAAAAGAAAUAAUAGAUUAUAUAUAGCAACAUAUUAAACCAUAUAUAAAGAUUAUAUAUAUUAAUUUGAAAAGGAAUAACAUAUUAUAUAUAUGAUAUUAAAUAAAAUUAUAGGUUAAUUUUAUUUUAUUUUUAUAUAAAAAAAAUACUAUUUUAGCAUAUGUUAGAAACAUAAAAAUAUUAACAUCUUUAUCAUUUUUUGGGUUAAAAAUUAAUAAUAAAUAUUUAAACUAAUAAUUUUUCAUAAUAUUUUAUUUAAAUUGAAUAAUUAAUAAAGUUUAACUUUUUAAAAAUGAGCAAAUUUUCAUUCCAUGUACUCAUUUAGAAUUGAAUUAUCAACAUAAUAUUAUAAAAUAUUUUAUUUUAUAUGUAAUUAAUUAGAUUGGUUUUUAAAUUUCAAAAUUAUUUUUAAAAAUUAAAAAAUUAAUGAAAUAAUUUAAAAUUAUUAAUUAUAUCUUAUUUAGUAUUUGAAAAGAAAUAAUAGAUUAUAUAUAGCAACAUAUUAAACCAUAUAUAAAGAUUAUAUAUAUUAAUUUGAAAAGGAAUAACAUAUUAUAUAUAUGAUAUUAAAUAAAAUUAUAGGUUAAUUUUAUUUUAUUUUUAUAAAAAAAAAAUACUAUUUUAGCAUAUGUUAGAAACAUAAAAAUAUUAACAUCUUUAUCAUUUUUUGGGUUAAAAAUUAAUAAUAAAUAUUUAAACUAAUAAUUUUUCAUAAUAUUUUAUUUAAAUUGAAUAAUUAAUAAAGUUUAACUUUUUAAAAAUGAGCAAAAUUUUCAUUCCAUGUACUCAUUUAGAAUUGAAUUAUCAACAUAAUAUUAUAAAAAAAAUUUAUUUUAUAUGUAAUUAAUUAGAUUGGUUUUUAAAUUUCAAAAUUAUUUUUAAAAAUUAAAAAAUUCAUGAAAUAAUUUAAAAUUAUUAAUUAUAUCUUAUUUAGUUUAUAAGAUAUAUGGCAACAAUAUUUGAAAAUGAAUAACAAAUUAUAUAUAGCAACAAUAUUCAAUUAUAUAUAAAGAUUACAUAUAUUAAAUUGAAAAGGAAUAAUAUAUCAUAUAAAUUAGGAACAAUAUUUAAGAUUUGCAAGACUAAAUCCUAUUAAAUCAAGUAAUAAAAUUCUAACCUAUUCUAUGAUUGAAUUAAAUUAUUCAAUAUAGACUUAUAUGAAUUUGUUACCUAGGUCAAACGACUCAAACCUCCUCCUGCCCAGGCUGCCCUAACCCCCUCUGUUUCUUUUUCUUCCCCAGCAACACCACGCCUCUAUCUUCUUCUUCUUCCCCAAAACAGCAACAGCCCUAAGCCCUUACACAGCAACACCACGAAGGCCCUCUUCUUCUUCUUCCCCAACUCAGUAGUCAGCAACACCACGAAGAUGCUGAUGCUCUGAUGCACUGAUGCAGCCCUCUGUCUUCUUCCCCAAACCACGAAGACGCAGCCUCUCGUGGCACGAUCUGCUACCUUCCACCAAGCACCGCACCAAAGAUGAGGAUUGUAGACUCCAGCAAUGGUGGAUUUCUUCAACCGAGCCUCUUUUUAAAGGCUUUUGAAAAAUUGAAAGGGUCACGGACUCACAGGUUUGUCAAAUCUUCACGGGUUUUUUUUUUUAUUUUCAUAGGUUUCGUAGGUUUUCUUUUGCAGAGGAAUCUCUGAUUUCUCUGAAAAAUCAAGAUUUGUUGUGGGGCUUUUUGCAGAGAAUCCAUUGAAUUUUUUCCCCGAGUUGCCCGAGUUAACUCGGAAUAUCGGUCGACUCGCCCGAGUCCAACCUAUUCAGGCCGAGUCUAGGUAUCUGGUAUCGGACUCGUCGCGGUCCACUUCGAGGCGGAUACGACUCGGCCGAGUCGUCCCGGACUCGGCCGAUUUUUUGAACGCUGGUUUCGCUCUUCAUGGAACUUCUUGGUGGGCAUAGGCUCAUAAGGUUCCAUCCUCUUUAAAGUUCCAGAUUUUCCGGAUCUCAUAAGAGGACAACAAUAACCUCUUUCAGCAGAGGAACGCAACAUUCAAACCCAUAAGCUUUGCCCCAUUAAGGUUCCUUGCCCAAGCAACGAACUCAUGCAAGCAACUUCACAGAAAUGAGUUAUUGUAAGGACCCACGCGACAGCAAGUACAAACGAACCACUCGCAUAUAUUACCAAGUCUCCCCUGAAAUUCUUCAACAUCCUAUGCACUUCGCAUUCGGAGCAUACCCAGUGGAGUUGAACGAAGUGAGCUCACAGUUCCUCAUCAAAACCAGGUUCAAAAGCCUCAUUGUUAACGCGGAACCUCAUUGUAUACCUUCAGCUUCUGGCGCUUUUCCAAACAGCCAUGCGUGUUUACUUCGAUCACGCUGAUGCUUAGAAAGAGUCAUCCCCUUGUAGACGUACUAAAAAAAAACUCCAUUGGUGCGCACUGUCAAAUGCUUCGAGCAUUGAGAUAUAUGUAUACAAAUCCGACAUGAGGAAAAUACCGCCACCAUCCAUGCAUAUACUAGAAGCAAACAACAGCAUCAUCGGUGGUCAUACAUUGACACUUGGCUGUCGAAUCUGAAGGAAAGUCUGAAUAUGAAGCAUGUUUUCCCCAAAUGAGCUUUUCAAGCUCCUCAUACCGUGAAGAAGAAUUUUUGGAAGGUGGUGAGGGAGUGUCCAUGUGCAUGAGACUAGGAGGACUGGUUGGCUGGGCGUGAUGGAUGGCUAUGCAUGCGUCGUGGGUAUAGGGAUUGUGAUGGAUGGUGGUGAAGUCCAGUAGAUAAGAAUAAUGAAGGGAUGGCAUGGGGGAGGCGCAGACUGCCGACAGUGAGUGCUAUGACAUAAGAUAGGUUGACUGUGGAGACCAAAGCACUAUGGUAAGCAAACUUACAGAGAGGGAAGUGGGUUUAUGGGUAUGGUUAGGUUUAGAGAGAGAAAAUGGAUAUGAAGGUUGAUGAGAGAAAACGAAUAUGUGAAGGUGGUGAUGAAGGAUAAUGAGAUGACAGUGGCUAUAUGUGGGGUCCCUUGUACUUAGGAAAGGGAUGAAAUGAAUCGAAGAUGAGUUAUAUGGGGUGAUGGGUAUGGAGAAUAGGUCCUGUGAAGGUAAUGGAAUGGUUUGGCUUGUUGCAGAGCUUGGUUAUGGCCUUGAGGAUUAUCACCAGCUAACUUCAGGUCAUCGACAUCAGUUACAGGUUGAGAGGGAAAACAGUCAACUGACAAUGGCUAAUGGGUCCCCUCUGGUACCUGAAAAUUCUCAUUAUCUAGAACAUGAGUGGCAACCUUUGCAGGUCCUUCUUGAACUUCUUGCAUUUCCAAUACCUGAGCAGUUGCGUCUCCACAACUCCCAAAUGAGUGUCUCCAUUUGUAGCAAGAACCUCAAAAACACCAUUGUCAAUAGUUAAGACGCUAACAUCGCAGAUUCCACCACCAAGGUAAAAAACAAGGAUGUUCUUCUCACCACCCUUCUUGUCCAAACCGUAUGCAAUAGCUGCAGACGAGAACAUAAUCACCACUUUCUGUUCACUUUUGUAGCUGAUGGAGAACAUUAGACGCCACGCAUUCAUGCAUAGAUAGCUUGACGAGUUCUUCCCACUGCACUAGCAAAGAAAACAAAGCUCCAUGGCCAAAGACAAAAUCACUACAUCUGGGGGGAAUCACUACCAAUAUAUCUUAGGGUCCACACGGCCUGCUCGCGAACAUCAUCACUUGGAGAACCAGGAAGUUUCGCAAACAUCGAAACUGCCCCAUGAUCGAUUGCCAUUUUGAAAUGCAUAAUAGAAAACAGAAAUCUUUGCUCGCAUCUCGCUCCAAACAGUCUAAAACAAACUAACCCCUUCCACUGAGGGUUCUUUGCCUCAAGUCACCUUCUUCAUCUUUACACCCACAUGGCGUACACGUGACUUUCCUCAAUCCUGUUCAUACUCUCUUCUUUUCUUUAGUAAGCUUAUUCUUCAAACUUUUAGAGUCUUCUCAAAAACACCCAGUCCGGACAGUCAGACUUAAACAAAAUACCCGCACUAAAAGAAAUAGAAAACAGAGGAUAGAGAAUGAAGAAGGAAAAUAGAGCAAGAAUGGAUGGAUUAAGGAAUUACUAAGCAACAUCUCGUUUCAUGAAUGAUGAACGAGUGGCUAGCUGGUGAGAUGAGUUAAAAAUCCACAAUAUAAUCAUCAGAACAUCCAAACCAAACUCAAUGAGGAUCCAAUCAUUUUCAGAAGAAAAGAAAAUCAAGCACAGGAGAGAGAUGAAGCAGAGCAUCAAACAUGAAUAAGCAUAUUCAAUCAAAACAAACCCCGUGGCCCUUGACGUCCACGGCAAACAAUAAACAGCAUUCAGAGAUCAACAAAGGGUGAAGCAAAACAUUAAGAAACAGGAACAUACCAAGCUCAAAAUGGCCUUACCUGGAAGUCCACAGCACGGCUUUCCUCUGCUUUUCUUUCAAAAAUGACAGUGAAUCCUUCCCCUCUCAAUCUCUCCCCUCUCCAGAAAAACCACCUUCUCCCCUAUGCAGCUGGCAGCCUCCCAAAAUCAACCAAACAAAAGCUUCCCCACCUCCUCUCUACUCUCUCUAAAAAAAUCUCCAUUUUCCUCCCUCACAGCCCCCUGUGAACAGCUUGCCCUCCAAGCUUUACUUUCUGCCCCCCUCUCUGAAAAGCACCUUCCCCCCUCAGAUACGCUCCUCCUCCAACAGAAAAAGGCACCUCUCUCUCUUGCAGCUCCCCCCUCUAUUACCCUAAAAUCCCAACAAAAGCUCUCACCGUCCUCUCCUCCAAAAAUCCUCUCUAACCAACCUCGCAAAAGCAACCUCCGACCCCUCACCCUCUCUGGCUGGCCUGCUACUCCUCAACAGAAACGUACCCCUCCUUCUGCAGCUCCCUUCCAGGUGUCAAUCCUUGAUUGCUCCUCCAACUCCACUAUUGUGAUUCUCUAGCAGCUAGUCAAAAUGUGACACGUGGCUGUCCCCAGAUGGUGACACCUGGCUAAAAGCAAGCUGCAGAAAAUGAGCCCCAAAUGGGGGUCUACAAUAUGUUAUAAAAUUAAUUAAUUUUAUUUACUAAAUUUAAUUUAUAAAUAAUAUAUUAAAUUUAAUAUAAGAUAAAUAAUAUUUAUAUAUUGUUUUUUUUCUUUCACUUUGGAAUUAAAAAAUAAAAAACUAUUAUCAAUUUUAUAUGAAAAUUGAGUUUAAAAAAAUUGUUAUUAAUUUAUUAAAUAAAAAAAAAAAACAAAAACGUCAAAAACGAUUUAGAAAAAAAACACUUUAAAAAUCUAUUUUUCUAUUUCAUAUUAUACUUAUACAAUAAUACAAUUAUUAAAAAUAUAUAAUAUAAAAUUAAUUAAUUUUAUUUACUAAAUUUAAUUUAUAAAUAGCAUACUAAAUUUAAUAUAAGAUAAAUAAUAUUUAUCUAUUUUUUUCACUUUGAAAUAAAAAAAAUAAAAAAUUACUAUCAAUUUUAUAAUGAGUUUAAAAAACAAAUAUGUUAUUAAUUUAUUAAAUAAUUAUUUACAAAAUAAAUAAUUUUAUUUUGUUUAAUUUUUAAAUUAAUUUUAUUAUAUAAAUUUUAAUAUUAAAAAUAUUAAUCUUUAAGUUAAAAUUUUAUAGUAAAAUGAAUAAAAUAUAAAAAAAUAAGUUAAAUAAUUUUAUAAUAUAUAUUUUUAAUAAUUGUAUUAUUGUAUAAGUAUAAUAUGGAAUAGAAAAAUGGAUUUUUUAAGUUUUUUUUUAAAAAUUGUUAAUGAUGUUUUUUUUUUUUUACUUAAUAAAUUAAUAACAAUUUUUUUAAACUCAAUUUUCACAUAAAAUUGAUAAUAGCUUUUUUUAAUUCCAAAGUAAAAGAAAAAACAAUAUAUAAAUAUUAUUUAUCUUAUAUUAAAUUCAUUAUAUUAUUUAUAAAUUAAAAUUAGUAAAUAAAUUUAAUUAAUUUUAUAAUAUAUAUUUAUAAUAAUUAUAUUAUUAUAUAAAUAGAAUAAAGAAUGAAAAAAAAAAAAGUUAAAGGUUCUGUUUUUUGUUUUUUUUUUUUUAAGUGGGAAUUUCUCACUUUUGGUUUUUUGUGGUGGGGGGAGGGUGACUUUUAUGUGGAAAUAAUUUUUUUUUUUGGGAGAAUUAUGUUUGGGGGUAGAUGGACCCCAAAUUAACAAAAGGUUCAUGUAAUUUUUCAAAUUGAGCCCAAGACCCAAUGAAAGUAUGGAAAUUGAAUUGAAGGAUAUUAUCCUUCAAUAUUUCCAAAAAUACUAUUUGUUGAUUUUGAAAAAAAAAAAAUAUUUUUGAAAAAUAGUUUUAUUUAAUUUAAUAUUUUUUUAUUUAAUUUAAUAUUUUAAAAAAAUACUUUUAUGUAAUUUAAUAUUUUUUUAAAUAAAUUUAUUUAAUUUAAUAUUUAAAAAUUUUUUAAUUUAAUAUUUUUGAAAAAAAAAUAAUUUAAUAUUUUUGAAAAAAAAUUAAUUUAAUAUUUUUGAAAAAAAAUUAUUUAAUUUAAUAUUUUUGAAAACUACUUUUAUUUAAUUUAGUAUUUUUGAAAAAAAAAAUUAUUAAAAAAAAAUUAUUUAACUUAAUUUUUUAAAAUAUUUUAUAUGUGUUCUUAAAUGGUAUAUUUCUCCGUUAUUAUUUCAUAUCCUUCAACUCAAUUUGAAGAGUUAUAUGGACCUUUUGUUAAUUUGGGGCUCAUCUACUUCAAAAAGAUAAUUCUCUUUUUUUUUAUAUAAAAAUAAGAAUUAAUUUUUUUUUUUUUUUUUUGGUGAAAAUCGUCUUUUAAGAGAUAAUUUUUCAUUUAGAUAUUUUUUUAAAAAAAAAAUUUAAAGUGAGAAUUUAUUUUUUGUAUUUUUUUUUUAAAAUCGUCUCUGACGAUUUCUUACUUAAUUAUCAUAUUGCUUUAUAUUUUUUGAAAUCGAAGAGAUGAUUUCUCACUUUUUACCACGGUAAUUUAGGAAUUAUUUUAAAAAGCUGUCUUAGUAUUAUCAAAAAUCCUUUGGACAGGUGAAUGGAAAUACAGUAGAUAUCUGGCCCGAUAGGCAGCCGUACUCUCCCAUUAUCACAUCAGCCCACUGCCACUGAGAACGACACCCCCCUAUCACCAUAGAUGCCAUUGAUUUUUCUUGUCUUCAUUCUCUAAAUGUUUUAUUAUUCACACAAGUUGGAGGAUCUCUAGUUUCUUUCAUGAAAUUUAAGUAGUCUCUGUAUGGGUGGAUGGAUAUAGAGUAGAUAUCUGCCCCUAUAGGCAGCCGUACUCUCCCAUUAUCACAUCAGCCCACUGCCACUGAGAACGACACCCCACCCACCACCAUAGAUGCCAUUGAUUUUUGCUGUCUUCAUUCUCUAAAUGUUUUAUUAUUCACAAAAGUUGGAGGAUCUCUAGUUUCUUUCAUGAAAUUUAUGCCAUUGAUUUUUGCUGUCUUCAUUCUCUAAAUGUUUUAUUAUUCACACAAGUUGGAGGAUCUCUAGUUUCUUUCAUAAAAUUUAAGUAGUCUCUGUAUGGGUGGAUGGAAAUAGAGUAGAUAUCUGCCCCUAUAGGCAGCCGUACUCUCCCAUUAUCACAUCAGCCCACUGCCACUAAGUACAAGUACGAAAAAUAAUUAAUAAAAAAUCAUUUCGAGAUGAUUUCUAAAAAUAGACAAUAUAUAUAUAUAUGAAAUUCUCACUUAAAAAUAAUAAAAUAAAUUAAGUAGAAAAUAGUCUGACAAAAAAAACAACAACAACAAAAAUAAGAAAUUCUUACUAAAAUUAAAUAAAAAAUAAUUAAGAAAUAGUCUCUUUAAGAUAUGACAACAAAAAUGAGAAAUUCUCACCUCAAAAAAAAAAAAAACCAUUUAAAAUCCAUUUUUUAAUUCUUUAUUCUAUUUAUCCAAUAAUAAAAUUAUUAUAAAUAUAUAUUAUAAAAUUAAUUAAUUUUAUUUACUAAAUUUAAUAUAUAAAUAAUAUACUAAAUUUAAUAUAAGAUAAAUAAUCUAUUAUUUCUUUCUCUUGAACUAAAAAAAAAACUAUUAUUAAUUUAUGUGAAAAUGAGUUAAACAAAAUUGUUAUUAAUUUAUUAAACAAUUAUUUAGUAUAUUAUUUAUAUAUUAAAUUUAGUAAAUAAGAUUAAUUAAUUAAUUUUAUAAUAUAUAUUUAUAAUAAUUAUAUUAUUCUAUAAAUAGAAUAAAGAGUGAAAAAAGUGGAUUUUUUAAUGUUUUAAUUUUGUUUUUGUUUUUUUUUUUUUAAGUGAGAAUUUCUCACUUUUGUGCUGCCCACUUGGAUAUUUUUAUAAUUUCUCAUUUUUGUAUGGAAAUCUCUCUCAGACGAUUUCUUACUUGGGUUUUUAUUAUUUUUUAAAGUGAGAAUUCUCAUAUAUAUAUUUUGUGGAAAUCGUCUCUUUAAGAGAUGAUUUCUCACUUGAUUUUAUUUUAUUAUUAUUAUUUUAAAAAUCGUCUCUUCAAUAAAUGAUUUCUCACUUCUUAAAUUUUUUAUUUUUUAUUUUUUAAAAAAUCGUCUCUUGAAGAGAUGAUUUAUUUCAUAUGUGAAAAUCGUCUAUUUUAAGGACGAUUUCUCAUUUCUUAAAUUUUUUUGAAAUUGUCUCUUUAAGAAAAAUAGAACUUUAGAAAUCAUGUAUUGGAAAGAUAAUUUUUUUAUAAUUUUUAAAAAAGUUUAUAAAACGUAUUUUAAAAAGAUUAUUUUUCACUUACAAUUUAUUUUCUCUUUUCUACUUGAACAAAACUACGAAUAGAUUUGAGAAUUGUUUUUUAAAACUGUCGUACUCAUGUCAAAAAUCCCUGACACCCCACCCACCACCAUAGAUGCCAUUGAUUUUUCCUGUCUUCGUUCUAUCUGUGAAUGGGACUUCUUAUCUUCAAGGGAGAAUUAUUGGAUGGGGUUCUGUCUUCAUUCUCUCUUUGAAUGGGGCUUCAUAUCUUCAAGGGAGAAUUAUUGGAUAGGGUUGGCUAGUGAUCAUUGCUGGGAAGGAUAAUUCUUGAGUUUAAAUACUAAAAUUAUCCUUCAAUUUAAUUUUUUUUAAAUUCGAAGUAUUUAAAGAAUUUCACUUAAUUUGUCAAUACAUUUAUAAUAUAUGAACUCCAUAUUUAUAAUAAUAAUUUAAAUUUAAAUUUUAAAUCAAAAUUUUGGGUUUAACCCUUAUAAUUAUUAUAUAUGAUGAUAGUAUAAUUUAUUAUUUUAAAAAAUAUUUUCAAAAUAUCAUUUAUUGGGUGUGUGUGCGCUUUUUAAUUUUUUUAUUUGUAUUCUAAUUUUUAAUUUUAUUAAGAAAAAAAAAAGUGUCAUAAUUAUACAAUAAAAAUGAUGAUUUUUUCAUAUAUAUAUAAAUAAUUUUAAAUUGAUAAAUUAUGUUUUUUUAUUAAAUUUGAGAAAGAUAAAAUAUUUAAUUUUUUAUUUGGAUUAUCUAAAAAGAAUAAGAAAAUGAUGGAGAAUGUUUAAUAUUAUUUUUUAUUUUUUAUAAUAAAAUACUUUUAAAAAAUUAAAUUAUUAUUAUUAUUUUUCAUAUUGUUUUUUUUUUCCUUAAUUUUCAUAUAUAAUUUUUUUUUCUCAAUGCAUCAAAUGGAUGAUGUUAAUACAUUUGAUAUGUUAAAUAUUAAUGAGGUAGAAAAAGUGAUCUUCAAGAUUAUUACUUCUAUUAUAAAAUAUAGAUAUAACAAAAAUAUGUUAUAAUUACAAUAUAAAUACAUUUAUAGUACAAGAAAACCUAAUUGAGAAAAUUUUGAAAUUUUUUAUAAAAGUGAUCAUACCAUAUUUCAUAACAUACAUAUAUUAUAAAUCAUUUAUAAAACCAAAUGAAAUACUAAUUUGAAUUCAUGAGACUUGUAAUUUUAUUUUUAUAUAUAAAAAUUAGUAAAUAAUUUCAACACAUCAAAUGAAUAUUGUUAAUAUACUGAUACGAUGUGUUAAUACCGAUAUGAUAUGAAUAAGUAUUUUUAGAAUUAUUAUUUUUAUAAUGAAAUAUAAGUAUGACAUAAAUACAUUAUACUUACAAUACAAAUACAUUAUCAUUACAAUAUAUUACAACAUAAUUUAAUUUUUUUUUUUAAUUUUUAGGUGCUAUAUUAUCAAAUGAAUAUUUAUAUAUUAUUUAAUUAAUGAGUGCUCGUAAAAAAUAAUUAUUCAUUCUCUUAUGAUAACAAAGUUUUUAAUUGUAUGUUCUAUAGAUAAAAUAAUAUAAUAAUUUUAGAAUAUGGUUUUUAUUUACGAGAUAUUGGAAAUUAUUUUUUUUUACUAAGUUCUUUAAAAAAAAUCAAAUUUUAUUUUAAAAAAAGAGAAAAAAUAGUAAUUUUUUACACGGUCUCUUCAUUAUUCAAAAGUGAAUGAUUUUGUGCCCAAUAUGGGUAUGAUACUCUUAUCCCUCUUUCUUUUAGACAUGAAAAUUUUCAUAAGUCAAAAAAAAGAGAUUCAAAUAAGAAAUAUUCAAAACAGAAAGAAGAACCAUAUUAUAAGAAAUCUAAACAUAAGAAACAUUCAAAUAAAAAAUAUCAAAAACAUCCCUCUAAAAAUAAAGAUAAAAGAUGAUAUCAAAUGUUUCAAAUGUAGCAAAAAGAGGCAUAUAGCUCCCAAUUGCAAAGUCAAAGAAAUCACUUUUUAGUGUGUAAUAUAUAACAAAUAAAACAAAAUGUAUUUAAUUCUAAAAAAAUUUAUAAUAUUAAAUAAAAAUAAUAUAAUAUUUUUAAAAAUUAUAAAAUAAUUUAAAUUAAAUAAUUGAAUUUUCUUUUAUUUUCAAUAUAUUCACAUUUAAAUAUUAUAUAUAUUUUAUUUAAUAAGAUUUAAAAUAUUAAUACUUUUAUGCUUAUGAUUUAAUUUGAUAAUAUUAAAAAUAUAAAAUAAUAUUAUUGAUUUUUAAUUUAUUUAUAUAUAUUUUAAAUUUCUUAUAAUUAAUUUUAAUUUUAAUAAUAUAUAAAUUAUAUAUUUAUAAUAUUAUCAAUUCAAUUAAUUCAAAAACAUAUCUCAUCACUAAACCAUAAAUCAAUAAUUUUUUCCAUUCAUGAUCGUUUUAAUAAUGAAAACAUUCAUUUUUCCUUCUAGAUUUCCAUUGUUUCUUUCUCUUUUAAUAAUCGCAUUGACUAGACCCUCAUUUACUUUUUAUAUUAUAUUAUAUAUCUAUGAAACGUUUUUUUCUACCAUCCUUCACUUUCUAAUUUUCUAUUAUUACUAUUUAUUUAUUUUGCUUUCUCUUCAUCCAAGAAAACUCCAUCCGUCCACAUGAAAUUGUUGGGAAAAAAAAGAACAAGGAGACCCAUCCUUACUUUUUAGUUUUAUUAACUUCUUCUGAUUUUUCUUUCAUUCGUUCACUUGCCGUGAGAAGGAAGGUAACUUUAAAGGACAAUAAUUUUCUUCAAAGGACAAUAAUUCAUUAGGUGAACCCACAUCACACAAAAAAAAAUGAAUGUCACAUAUAGGGUAGGCAUCAUUUAUUUGCGUCUUCACCUAGGUCUUAUUUUUUUAUUUUUUUUAUUAUUCCUUUGAAGGACAAUAAUUCAUUUGGUGAGCCCACAUCUCACAGAGAAAACGAAUGCCACAAGUAGGGUUGCUAUCAUUUAUUUGUGUCUUCACUUAGGUCUUUUUUUUAUUUUUUUAUUUUUUUUUAUACAUGCCUAAUUUUAUUUUAUUUUUCACUUUAUGAUUUUUUUCUCAUUAAUUUGUAUUUUUAUUUAAAAAUUUACAUUCAACUAUAUAAAUGAAAAUCAAUGUCUCUAUGUAGCAUUUUCUUUAAUAAAAUAAUACAAAUGAAAUACUAAUUUGAAUUCAUGAAACUUGUAAUUUUAUUUUUAUAUAUAAAAAUUAGUAAAUAAUUUCAACACAUCAAAUGAAUAUUGUUAAUAUACUGAUACGAUGUGUUAAUACCGAUAGGGUAUGAAUAAGUAUUUUCAGAAUUAUUACUUUUGUAAUGAAAUAUAAGUACGACAUAAAUACAUUAUACUUACAAUACAAAUACACUAUCGUUAUAAUAUAUUACAACAUAAUUUAAUUUUUUUUUAAUUUUUUACGUGUUAUAUUAUCCAAUGAAUAGUUGUGUGUAAUUCAAUUGAAUAGUUAUAUAUUAUUUAAUUAAUGAGUGCUCGUAAAAAAUAAUUAUUCAUUCUAUUAUGAUAACAAAGUUUUUAAUUGUAUGUUCUAUAUAUAAAAUGAUAUAAUAAUUUUAGAAUAUGAUUUUUAUUUAUGAGAUAUUAGAAAUUACCUUUUUUUUACAAAGUUCUUUAAAAAAAAUCAAUUUUUAUUUUAAAAAAAGAGAAAAAAUAGUAAUUUUUUAAACACUCUCUUCAUUAUUCAAAAGUGAAUAGCAAUUUUUUGGGCCUUGAGAAAUGUACUGUUAAUUACUUGUACUUAUCAUAUGUGGAUCCUACAUCACUGACAAUCUCAAAUUUUUUAAUAGAUAAUAUAAAAAACAUAUUUAAGGAUAAAAUUAUCCUCCAAAAAUUCUUGCAAUGAGUGACCCUUUAAUUAUCACAUCCAACCCACCCUAUCCCGUAAUUCUCCCUAUCUUCAGAUACAUUUUCCAGCAAUCGGAAACCACUAUGUUAAGAUUGCAUUAACAAGUUUUCUUUCCGAAGAGUAGCUCAAAAAUGGCAGAAAGCACUGUUACCUUCUUUUUAGUUAGAGAAGUUGAGCAACUUGGUUUUACAGGAAGCUUCCAUAUUUGGGCAAGUAGAAGGCCAUAUAAAAUUGCCUCGCAACGAGUUGGAGUGGAUGCGCCUCUUCUUGGGCAAAUAAACUUUAAAUCAACCGCGACUUAUUUUUAAUUAAUCUAAAAAUUUUUAAAAAUAAUUUAAAAUUAAAAUAAUAAAAAGUUUAAUAUAAAAAUUUUUAUGGAUAAAUAUUGAUCAUAAUGACUGUUAUUUUUUUUUAUAGAUCCUUUUUUUUUUUUUUUUUUUUGGUUUUCUUAUUAAACAAAAAGACUCCAAAAUCAACAAGAUUUAAUGUUUAGAUUAAUAGUUCACAAAUCUAUUAAUUUUAAAAGAUACUCUUAAGAAAUAAUACAAUUACUAGUAGAAAUUUAUAGAGUAAAAUUGGUGCAAAGUAACUCUAAAAAUUUAUUUCUAACUAAAACUAAUUUUUAUUUUUAAUAACAAGUGAAUUAAAUUAAAUUAAUAUGCUAUAAAUUAAAUUUUAAAUUUUUUACAAAAUCAAAAUUAAGAAACAACUCAUCUAAAGUUUUUAUUUUUCUAUUUUUUAAAAGGCAUUUCUAAAACAACUUCCCAAUACUCUUAUUUUAAAAAUAUUAAAAAAUAUUUUUUAUUUUUUAACUUAAAACCAAAUUUUAAAACUAAGAAUUAGAAAAUCGAACGGACACAAAGCUUCAGCAGCAUCAAAUGAUCAAAUAGAUGCUUAAUACUUUCAAAAAAUAAAAUAAAAUUUGUUGGGAAUGGUUGAAGAGCGAGCUAAAGGCUUCUUUGGUAGCUCUUUUUAAGAAUAACUUUAUAUUUGAUAAUUUUUUUUAUUGAAAAUAAUAUUUUUUUUAUCAUUUAUUUUAAAAAUAAGUUAUUUUUAUAACAAAGUUAAAGAGGUGAGUUUUAGAACAAAAUUUGAACUAUUUUUUAGAUUUUUUUGUAAAGCAUUCUAAAAACUAAUUUAAAUUAUAUAGUAUUUUCACGAAAAACAAAUAAAAAAAUUAUUGUUUAUUUAAAAUUUUAAGUAAAAUUUAUUCUUAAAAUAAUUAAAAACUAUUCCUAAGAAUAGUUUUUAAUAAGUGUUUUCAAAAUGUUGUUGACUUUGGUUGAUUCAAUUGAUAAGUUUCGGUGUGGGUGUCACGUGAUAAGGCUGAUGCCAAGGGCCGAUAGCAAGAUGGCGCACGUGUUGAUGGGCAUCUGACACGUGGCUACAGCAUCCUUCGUGCAUGGCACACUUUGAUUAUAUAUAUAUAUACAAAAAAUUUUAAAGUAAUUAUAAUACUUCAUUGCAACUACAAAUUAAAUAUUUCAUCAGAACCAUUACCCAAUGUAUUUAUUGAUUAAAGGCACAUGAUCAAAAUUAAUACCUAAAUGAAUUAAUAAAUUUUCUUCUUAUAAUAAUAAUAAUAAUAAUAAUAAUAAUAAUAAUAAAAGGGAUGCAAUUUUGAUCAAUCCAUUGCUAGGCUUACUCUUCAUGUUGAAGUCUUCUCCAUAAAAAAAGAAUUUAAUAAGAUCUAAAAUUUUUAAAAAUAUUUAAAUAUUUAAUUCUUCUUAUUUAAUAUAAAAAUAUACUAAAUUUUAAAUAAUGUUUAUUAAACUUGAAUUUCCUUUAUAUUUUCCAUUCUUCUAUGAUUAAAGGUACAUAAACUCUCUUGCACUUGUAUUUUUCUUCAUAACCAAUAUGGAGAAAAAAAAAGAAUUAUUUUAUUGAUAAAAGAGCUUUCUUUUCGGACUUUAUUUUUUUUAUCUUUUCUAUUGAUAUUCAUUCCCUAAGAGUUUGAACUGACCAUUACUUGAAAUAGGUUAAACAUACUACCAUAUGCAAGAUUUUGUUAUACCGUUCAAGAUUAUUUUUUAUUAUCUACAUCAAUUAUCUUCUCUCAAAAUAUUUCUUAUUCUAAUUCUUAAUUUAUAUUUUAAGUAAUGUUUUGCCUCUGAUUUGUCAUACUUUAAUUUUUCAUACAACUAUAUCAUAAAACAAUAUUAUUCCCUGAUUUUUUUUAAAAUUUUAUUUAAGGUUUUUUUUUUUCUAUAUUUUUCCUUAGCAUCAAAUGAUUGAAUAAUUCAAAUUGAGUUGAUUAGUUAAUUUAGAAUAACGAUGAAAACAUGCUAUUUUAUUUUCAAUCAUAGAAUAGGAUAGGGACCUAUGCAUCUUUACUUUCCAUUGCCAGUUGGAUCUUGGUCAAAAGCAAAUCUUACCAUGGGAAAUUGUCCAAGGAAAGGCUAAAGGUUGAAACCCACCUUUACUUUUUAUCUUUGAAUUUUCUUGGCUCCCAUUCAUCCCUAAGGGAAUCUUAUCCUCAGACAUGACAUGACCCCACUAAAAGAACAAAUAGAGUCUAAUGGGCAAUAAUCUUCCCUCCUUUAGCUUUUGAAUAAAAAUCGUUUCUGGAAGACUAUAUUUGUGGGGUUGGAUGAAAUAUUUAAAGGAAUUGUUGGAACCCAAUCACACACCCGGAACCGGAAGGAAGAAACCAGUCUCAUUGUCACUGAGGAGAAAUUGUGAAGAAAAUGGCAGAUACGGUUUCCAUCUUUGUGGAGAAGUUGAGCAACUUGGUUUUACAAGAAGCCUUUCUGUUUGGACAAGUAGAAGAGCAGGUGAAGUUGCUGCGGGACGAGCUGAAAUGGAUGCGCCUCUUCUUGAAAGAUGCGGAUUCACAAUCCUUGUGCAACGAAAAAAUCAAGCUGUGGGUGGAGCAGAUUAGGAACGUGACCCAUGAUGCUGAAGAUGUCAUCGAUGAGUUUAUCCUUGACAUGGAUCGCCGGCAGCUGAGACUCAACACCCUCAAGUUCCUCAAGUGCCUACCUACUUGCGUAGGAUUUGCCGACAAGUUACCUUUCAUCCACGAGCUCGACGGUCGUGUGAAAGAGAUCAAUAUCAGGAUUGAGAGGAUUAUGGCUAAUAGAUCCAAGUAUGGCCUUGAAGCUCUAAUGGCUUCCAACUCAUCCAGUACUACUGAUCAGGUUGUGGCGUACAAGGAGAAGUGGGCCCAAGUUGUCGAAGGGAGCGAUGUAGUGGGGAUUGAAGAUGGCACCGAGGUGGUGACGCAGAUGCUGACGAAGGGAGAGAUGCGGAGAGCGGUAGUGUCCAUCGUGGGGAUGGGCGGCCUAGGCAAGACAACUCUUGCCAAGAAAGUUUAUAAUCAUAGUGGUGUUAAGCGGCACUUUGAUUGUAUAGCUUGGGUUUGUGUCUCUCAAGAAUUCAAGCCAAGGGAGCUUCUACUCAGCAUCAUCAGUUCUGUCAUGUCCCUCAGCAAUGAAGAAAAGAAAGAAAUGAGAGAGGUCGAGCUAGGUGGGAAGCUUCGUGAAUGCCUCAACGACAAGAAGUACCUGGUAGUCAUGGAUGAUGUAUGGAGUAUUGAAGCUUGGAGUAGCUUGUGCUCCUAUCUUCCUGAGUCUAGGAAUGGCAGCAAAGUGCUGAUGACCACCCGAAAUAAAGAAAUUGCUGCACAAGCCAAUGGGCAUGAAGUUGUUGGGCACACCGAUUCGCAGGCUCUGGUCUAUGAACUCCCGAUUAUGGAUGAUGAUGAGAGUUGGGAGCUCUUUCUCAAGAAGACUUUUGGAGCGAGAGAUAAUACACAUGUUCCUUCAUCUAAAACAUUGGAGGAAUUGGGAAGGAAAAUUGUGGCAAAAUGUAAUGGUUUGCCCCUUGCGAUUGUGGUGUUAGGAGGCUUAUUGUCGACGAAAGAGAGGACAGAACCAUCAUGGGAGAGAGUGCUUGAAAGUAUAGAUUGGCAUCUGAAUCGAGGCCCGGAGUCAUGUUUUGGAAUUCUGGCCUUAAGUUACAAUGACUUGCCUUAUUACUUGAAGUCAUGUUUUCUUUACUGUGGUAUUUUCCCAGAAGACUCUGAAAUCAAGGCUAGUAAGUUGAUUCACUUAUGGAUUGCUGAAGGUUUUGUUCAAAGAAGAGGCAUAGAAAAGUUGGAAGACAUUGCUGAAGAUUAUUUGUAUGAACUGAUCCACAGAAGCAUGGUUCAGGUGGCUCGAAAGAAGGCAAAUGGAAGAGUGAUGUCUUGUCGCAUACAUGAUCUCCUUCGGGACCUUGCUAUUUCAGAGGCCAGAGAUGCAAAACUUUUUGAGGUACAUGAAAACAUUGAUUUCACCUUUCCUAAUAGCAUUCGUCGGUUAAGCAUUCAUCAACAUCUCAUCAAGAACAACAUUUCUCAGCAUUUGCAUAAUUCACUCAGAUCUUUAAUUUUCUUUACUGACCCUAUUGAGAGAAAGGAUUGGAGAUCUAUACAAAAGCACGUUAAAUUGCUUGGUGUGUUGGAUCUAGGGAGGAUAGAGGAGGAUUAUAUCCUCCCAAAGGAGAUAGGAGAACUCAUCCACUUGAAAUUCUUAUGCAUAAAGGGAUAUUUUAAUAGAGUAACGCUUCCAUCAUCCAUUAAGAGACUUGUUAAUCUGCAAAAUCUCAAUUUAGGAUACAAUGAUUCCUACAUACCUUGUACAAUUUGGAAAUUGCAGGAAUUGAGACAUCUAAAUUGUUGUUAUGGCGAGAUGUCAAGUCAAUUCAAAUUAAAUAAGUGCAUGAAUGGUUAUUUGGGUGUGGAGCAACUCACCAAUCUUCAAACAUUAGCAUUACCGGUAGGAAGUUGGUUGGAGGGGGAUGGUUUAGGAAAACUUACCCAACUUAGGAAACUACGUUUAGUUGGACCGUUGGCUCCGUAUUUGAAGAAGGGGUUUUUUGAUUCUAUUGCUGAAUUGACAACUCUUCGGACCUUGUUUUUGGGGAAUUGGCAGGUUGAUAAGAAAAAGACAUUAUUAAAUCGGGUUGGAUUGAAGUGGCAGGAGAAUGUUGUUGAAGAGAAAACAUUGUUACCAGGACUCAUGUCUUUCUCACGCCACACCUAUCUCUAUAAAGUGCACCUAUAUGGAAAGGUGGACAAGUUACCAGAGCAAACUGAAUUCUACCCUCCCAACCUCCUCAAACUCACUUUGAGCAAAUGUGAGCUAGAGGAUGACCCAAUGUUGAUUCUAGAGAAGCUCCCAACCUUGAGAAUUCUUGGAUUAUUGCGUGGCUCAUAUGUUGGAAAGAAAAUGGUUUGUUCCUGUGGAGGAUUUCUUCAACUCGAAAGCCUAGAACUGAAUGGUUUAAAUGAAUUAGAAGAAUUGACAGUUGAGGAAGGAGCAAUGUGUAAUCUGAGGACCCUACAGAUUUUGUCUUGUGAUAAAAUGAAAAAAUUUCCUCAUGGAUUGUUGCAGAUGAAAAAACUUGAGAAAUUGGGGCUGAUCAGAACCAGCGGCAAAUUAAUUGAAGAGGUCCAGCAAACAGAGGGAGAGGAGUGGGAUAGAAUUCGUCUCAUCACCUUCAUAGACAAGUGAGAUUAAGUUUUUUUUUGCUAUGUAUUCCAGCUUGUUUCUUUUUCUCAUGUUCAUUUCAUUAGUUUGUUAUGGAAUAAUCUUAUGAAUAUUGAAAAGUAGCUUCUCAGGAAGUUAAUCAUUUUUAUUUGUACAUGUAUUAUUUGUUUUCUUUGUUAAUCAUCAUUCACUCUUUAUUUCAGUUGUCGAACAGCUAGGAUCAUUUUAUUCCAUUGACAAAUCUAACAUCAGAUACUUCCAAAGGCCCCAUGCCUAACCACAACAUGAUGGGAGGCCAAGAAGUUGUUUAAUUAAUCCCUCUAUUUUCCCUAUAAUUGACAAGCAAUUAACCUUGAAAUUGGAAAAUGAAACAUAAUUGCAUGGAGAAAAUGAAAUAUAAUUUUAGUGGGAAAUCCUUUUCCACUCAAAAGUUGAAGGCUGAAUUGAAUGGAGAAACUGGAACAUAACUUUUUUGAAAUAUAUCAUAAGCUGUUAAGCUAGUUAAGAAGCUUUUACCCUUUUCAUGUAUAGUAAAAUCUAGAUGAAUGAAUCUAACUUGGAAGUUGGAUCUGUGUACUACACUAAUAAUCUCACUAAAUGUAUAAGAUAAUAAUGUUUUUAGAUAUCCUUAAGGGUUAAGAAAAAUAAAUUAAUAAUUGAUAAUAAAAACAUAAUACUCUAUAAGUUGAUAAAUAUUUAUUUAUCAAUAAAUUAAUAAAUUAUUCAUUAAUAACUCCACUACCAUAAUAAUUUUUCUUAGUCCCACGAAUAUUAUUUUUUAUGGGAGUUUUAUUAUAAUAAACGAAAAUUCUAUAGUCCCACAUGAUAGAAAAUAGUUUCAUUGUAUUUUAGCUAGCAAUGAAAUGAAUCCCUUUCAUUUUUUUCAUGCAAAAAUUUGUUAAUUACUUAUAAAAUUAUUAGUUUUAGCUUCUCUAGUGGAGGGAUUAGUUAUUUAUAUAUUAUACAAUAUUGAAGCAUAGUUGUGAUAGAUAUUUGGAAUGAAAAAAACAAAAAAAGAUAAUUGGACUUUAAUAGGCAAUAAGCAUUCUUGCCAUUAAUUAGAGGAUGAGUGAUUGUGAUGAAUGCUAAAAUCAUGGAUAUUUCGCAUUAUUUUUAUUUUUUAGGAUAAAGCAUAUAAGAGAUCAAUACCUAUAAAUUAAAUAUAUGUUAGAUAAACUUUAUAUAAAAAAAAAAUCAUACAAAUUAAAAAGGAAAGCCAAUAUCAAAAUACUGGGAUGAGAUAUUAGUCUAUAUAAGUUGUUGUGCUCCUAUAUUUAUUUGGAGGGGAUCGUAUUUAUUUCACAUGUUUACCUCAAUUUAAUGUUACAUGUAAAACCCCUGCAGAUCGGCAUUUUCAUAAAAAUUUCAGGGAAAAAAAAAAUCAGAUACAUACAAAUAUUAUCAUGAACUUGUACACGAGGAGAGAAUCAGUGAAAGCCAAUGUCAUCAAGGAGGAUGAUGCUGGUGUUAUCCGAAAUUGGGUGUGUCUGGGAGGUGAUAAGACGGAUCCUAUUCCAAUCUUCUCCUUGUGUCUGGAAAACCUCUUUCAACAAUUCAUUGGAGCAAUGGAGGAGGUUCAGUUCCUGCAGGUUUCUUAGCCCUAACAGCCCAUCAGGAAACUUCUUCAUUUUCCAGAACCACUCCAUCUGUAAAGUCCUCAGCUUAGGCAUUGCCCCUUCCUCUACAGUGAGGUCCUCCAGAUUGGACAGAUGCUCCAUAUGCAGGAACUCAAGUUGGUGGAAUCUUCCCUCCGAGCAAUUCAUUUUCUUUCCUACAUACGAGUUCCAGAGUAAUUUGAGAAUCCUCAAGUUUGGGAGCUCCCCUAGAAUCGACAUUGGAUCUUGUUCCAACUCAGUCUCCCACAGCUUGAGUUGCAGGAGGUUUGGAGGGUAGAACCCAGUAUCUACUGGUAAUUUCUCGAGCCUUCCUCCUAAAACCAAUUUUUGGAGACGGGUGUGGUGUGAGAAAGACAUGAAACCAGAGACUAUUGUUUUCCUUUUAGAAGAAAAGUUUAUGAGCUUCAGGUUUUCUAGUGCUGUCAAUUGGGCUAUAGAUUUGAAAAACCCCUCCUUCAAAUAAGGAGUCAAGCCUCCCAUUAUCUUGAGCUGCCUGAGCUGGGUCAGUUGCCCUAAGCCAUCACCCUCCAACCAUUCGCCCCCUUGUAAAGCUAAUGUUUGAAGGUUAGUCAAUUGAUGGACACCCAAAUCACCAUUAAUGAAGAACCUCUCUGUAAAUGACUUCCUUGAAACUAUCCCACCAGGACAAUUUAAAUGUCUCAAUUGAUGUAGUUUCCAGAUUUUGCAAGGAAGACAUAGAAGAUUGCCGUCUAAGUCGAGAGUCUGCAAAUUAACGAGCCUAACAAUGGGUGUUGGAAGCCUUAUUCUAUUCCCAGCCCCCCUUAAACACAUAUAUUUCAAGUUUAUGAGUUCUCCUACUUUUCUUGGGAGCGUGUAAAUAUUCUGAUACUGGCACACUCCUAAAUCCAACACCUGAAGUAAUUUGAUGUGUUCUUGCAAAUAUGUCCAACUGUUUUCUUGCAAGGGUUCAGACAAAAAAAUCAAUGACCGGAGGCGUGAGUUAUGCAAAUGCUGAGAUAUAUUUUUCUUAAUAAGACUCUGUUGAAUGCUAAGCCGAUGAGAGCUAAUAGGAUAUCUAACAUCAAUGUUUUCAUGUACCUCAAAAAGUUUGGCGUCUUUGGCCUCUGAAAUGGCGAGGUCUCGAAGGAAAUCAUGCAUGCGGCAAGAUUUCACUCUUCCAUCUAGCCUGUCCCUCUUAUCCACUUGAAUCAUGUUUCUUUGGAUGAGCUCGUAUAAGUAGUUCUCGGCCAGGUCUUCCAGUGUUUCUGCUCCCCUAGUUUGUACGAAUCCUUCAGCAAUCCACAGCCGGAUCAAUUCACUUGAUUUGACUAUUGAGUUUUCUGGGAAAAUACCGCAAUACAGAAAGCACGACUUUAAGUAAUUGGGCAAGUCAUUAUAACUUAAAGCGAGAAUUCCCAAACAUGAGUUGGGACCUUGACUCAAAUGCCAAUCUUUGCUAUGAAGUACCUUUUGCCAUGAGAAUUGGGUCUUCUCUUUCAUUGAUAGAAGGCCUCCCAACAUCACAGUAGCAAGGGGUAGGCCUUUGCAUUUUGCUACAAUCUCCUUCCCUAAUUUCUCCAACCCUUGAGGCCAAACCAAGGUGCUGCUUCCCAUCUUCCUGAGAAAAAGCUCCUCACUCUCCAUUUCAUUCAAAGGAUGGAGUUCAUGGAGAUGUGAAUUGGCAUGCAAAGCAACUUCUUUGUUUCGUGCUGUAAUUAGCACUCUACUUCCAUAUCCCUCUAUUGGGAGAUAAACAUUUAAACCCUUCCAAACUUGUGUGCACCAAAUAUCAUCCAUGACUAUCAAAUACUUUUUGGUGCUCAGGAAAUUACGAAGUUCGAUCCCCACCGCGGCUUCACUAUCUAAUUCUGUCAUGAUUCUUUUAUCAUUCGUCACACAAUUCAGAAUUUCGAAUAAAAGAUCUCGGGUUCUAUACUCUUGAGAAACAUAAACCCAAGCAUCACAAUCAAAAUGCUGUUUCACAUCAUUGUAGACUUUCUUAGCUAGAGUCGUCUUGCCAAGGCCACCCAUGCCCACUAUAGACACCACUACUCUCCGCGUUUCUGUUGUCUCUCCAGCCUCAACAAGCAAUUCCUUUACAGAUUUCACAUCUGUUUCGAACCCCACCACAUCAAUUUCUUCAACAACGGGGAGCGUUUUCUCCUUACAUGGCACUUCAUUGGAGGAGCUCCAAGCUUUAGAAGUGCUGGGAUUUUCAAUGCCGUACCUUUUUUUAUUGGCCAAGAUCUUCUCGAUGGUGAUAUUGAUCUCGGUUAUACGAUCGUUGAGCUCGUGGAUAAAUGGUAGCUUGUCAGCGACGCUAACACAUGAAGGUAAGAAUCUGAGGAACUUGAGUCUAUGGAGUCUCUGCUGGCGCUUGUGUUCCACCUUGAACAUGAAUUCAUCGAGGACAUCUUCGGCAUCAUGAGCUGCAUCUCUGAUCUGAUUCACCCAGAGCUUGAGCCGUUUAUCGUAUCUGCGUCUUGCAUCAGUAUAUUCCAGGAAGAGGCGCAUCCACUCCAGCUCGUUACGCAGCAGCCUCACCUGCCCUUCUACCUCUCCAAAUAGAGAAGCUUCUUGUGAAGCCAAGUUGCGCAACUUCUCUAGAAAAGAGGCCACACUGCUUUCUGCCAUUUUCUUUUGUUUCAACACAAUGAGGCUGGGUUUGUUUCAACUUUCAAAACAUCUCAUCAUAAGUCUUUUUUUUUUUUUAAUUAAGUGUUGAGAUAUUAUGAUAUAUUCUAGGAAAAUAGUUGCUAUUGUUUAGGAUUGUUUCCUAAAUGUUGAGAUAUUAUGAUAUAUUCUAGGAGCUAUUGUUUAGGAUUGUUUCCUAAACUCACGACAUUGUUUAGGAAUGUUUUCUAAACUCACGGUUUUCCCUUCAUUAGGUUUGCUUGAUGUACUAUAUAUUUACAUGGAUGAAUAUCAAUUAGGGUUAAGCUUUGACCCUUUAAUCACACUUUACAUGGUAUCAGAGCACUGACAUACACACACAAUAAAACAAUGGCCGGCGACGAUGAACAACCACCAUUGCCGCCACCUAAAAGGGAGAUGAAUUCACCUUUUUUUCUCGACACAGGAGACCGACCAGGCGACUUCAUCACUCCCACUCGCUUACGCGGUGACAAUUACGAUGAUUGGGCUUCCGAUAUUCAGUUGGCAUUGGAGGCACGCCGCAAGUUCGAAUUUUUGGAAGGCACUAUCACCGGACCACAACCUCCAUAUACCCAAUUUGAUUGGAACACCGUCAAUGCAAUGUUGGUCUCUUGGAUUACAAACACAAUCGAUCCCGAGGUAAAGAGUACCCUAUCUAAAUUUCGUGAUGCAAAACGCUUAUGGGAGCAUCUUAAGCAACGAUAUGCUAUGGUUAAUGGCCCAAGAAUUCAACAGUUAAAGACUUCAGUUGCUAAGUGUGAGCAAUCGAAAUCUAUGUCUGUUACAACUUACUAUGGCAAAUUGAAUGUAUUAUGGGAGGAAUUAUUUAAGCAUGAACCGCUAAUUUCUUGCACUUGUUGUUCGUCUUGUACUGCCGCAUCAUUGCACCAAGCAAGACGUGAACAAGGAAAAUUACAUGACUUCUUGAUGGGACUCAACACUGAUCUGUACGCUCAAUUACGAACCAAUAUCCUUUCUCAAGAUCCCUUGCCUUCGCUUGAUCGAGCGUACCAACUAGUGAUACAAGAUGAGCAUGUGCGGCUCGCCAAGGCAGUCACAGAAGACAAGCCAAUAGAGGUCCUUGGCUUUGCUGUCCGUACAGGUGCUGGAAGAGGACGAGGAAAAAUGGAGAGGCCUGUGUGUAGCCACUACAAGAAGACGGGGCAUGAAACUUCAACUUGCUGGUCCCUCGUUGCUUGUCCUCACUGUCACAAGCAUGGCCAUGACAAAAAUAAUUGUUAUGAAAUAGUGGGUUAUCUUGAGGGGUGGUUGGAUCAAAACAAGGCUGAUGGGGGUGCUGGACGUAGUCGUCAGCAGGCUGGUCGUGGGCGUGGUUCAGCUCGUGCUAACGCGGCAAGUAGCACAAUUGGAGCAUCCUCUACUAAAAGUUCUACCGAUCUACUCUUCACACCCGAACAAUGGAAAGCUCUUGCGGGCUUAAUUGGUAAUGCUCAAGUUCCGGAUGACAGGUUGAAUGGUAAGUUUGACACGAAGUCAUGGAUCAUUGACACCGGGGCAACUCAUCACGUGACCGGUGAUUUAUCUUGGUUAUUUGAUACUAUAGCGUUGUUUGAGUGUCCGGUUGGCCUUCCUAAUGGUGAAUCUGUUGUUGCGACCCAAUCCGGUUCCGUUCGUUUGUCGAAUAACAUCACUCUUAAAAACGUUCUUUAUGUGUCGAAACUCAAUUGCAAUUUACUUUCGGUUUCACAAUUGACUGAUGACUUACAUUGUAUUGUCCAAUUUAACUCUUAUAUGUGUGCUAUACAGGACCACACCAGGGAGCUGAUUGGAACGGGAGUUAGGUGAGAUGGACUUUACUACUUCGGUGGAGCUGAAGGUGAUUCGGUACAACAUGUUUCUGUCCACAACGUAGCCUCCACUUUGGAGUUGUGGCACAAAAGGAUGGGACAUCCUUCAGAGAAAGUAGUGAAGUUACUUCCUCCAGUUAGCAAUCUUAAGGGUAGUUUAAACAAAGCGUGUGAAAUAUGUUUUCGUGCUAAGCAUCCUAGAGACAAAUUUCCUUUAAGUGACAAUAAGGCAACUAGAAUUUUUGAGAAAAUACAUUGUGAUUUGUGGGGCUCUUAUAAACAUGUCUCUUCUUGUGGAGCUCGUUAUUUUUUAACUAUUGUUGAUGAUUUCUCAAGAGCUGUGUGGAUUUAUUUGUUGGUCGAUAAAACAGAAGUUUUUCGGAUGUUUAUGUCUUUUAUUGCAAUGGUAGAUCGACAAUUUUUUCAAACAGUGAAAGUUGUUCAAAGUGAUAAUGGUAUGGAAUUUAAAUGCCUACUUGACUAUUUUUCUGCAACUGGCAUUUUAUUCCAAACUUCUUGUGUGGGAACUCCGCAACAAAAUGGGAGGGUUGAGAGAAAACACAAGCAUAUUUUAAAUGUGGGGAGGGCAUUACGCUUUCAAGCAAAUUUGCCUAUUUAUUUUUGGGGCGAAAGUGUUCUUGCCGCUGCUCAUUUAAUAAACCACACUCCCUCUCCUUUGUUACACAAUAAAACACCAUUUGAAAUCCUAUUUGGUACCCCUCCUUCAUAUGCGGCAAUUCACACCUUUGGUUGUCUUAGUUUUGCUCAUGAUCAAAAAUCCAAAGGUGACAAAUUUGCAAGUAGAAGUAGAAAAUGUGUGUUUUUGGGUUACCCGUUUGGAAAGAAGGGGUGGAAGUUGUUUGAUUUGGACACCAAGGAAUUAUUUGUUUCUCGUGAUGUCAAGUUUUUUGAGGAUGUUUUUUUGUUUGGUAACCCGAGUGCUGUGAAUAUUAUUCCGGACAACAUUGUGCCUAUGGUAAAUGUUGAAAUUGAUAGUGAUUUUGCUGAUUUUGUCGAUGAUGAUGCUGAUUUACCUAACCCACAAGCCCAAACACAAAAUCCCAACCUCAUCCAACCUGAACCCCAAGCCCACCAAGAUCUUUCACCUGGGCCGGAAGUUGUUCCCACUGUUGGGCUUGAUUCACUUGGGCUUGACAAUACAAGCAAUGGGCAGUCUGCUCCUAUGGGAAAGGGAAUGAGGGAUAAAUUUCCUUCGGUUCUAUUACGAGAUUUUGUUACUCAUACGGUGGUUGCUGAAAGUCCAUCUCCCGCCACUCCGUCUCCACAGCAUCCUUCAGGUACUCCUUAUCCCAUAGCACAUUAUAUAAAUUGUGACAAUUUUUCUGUACAUUAUCGAAAGUUUCUUGCAGCUAUUAUUUCGAGCAAUGAUCCUAAGUCAUUUAAAGAGGCUAUGAAAGAUGUCGGUUGGCAAAAGUCAAUGCAUGAGGAGAUUCGGGCUUUGGAGGAAAAUGGUACGUGGACUCUUGAACCUCUUCCAAAGGGUAAGCGUGCUUUGGGAAGUCAGUGGGUUUACAGAACCAAGUACUUCUCAAACGGUGAUAUUGAAAGGCUAAAAUCCAGAUUAGUAGUUUUGGGGAAUCAUCAAGAAGCCGGUAUUGAUUAUCAUGAGACUUUUUCUCCAGUUGCCAAAAUGACUACCGUGCGUGCUUUCUUGGCUAUUGCGACUUCGAAAAAUUGGGAACUUCAUCAGAUGGAUGUUCACAAUGCCUUUUUGCAUGGAGAUCUUGAGGAGGAAGUGUAUAUGAAGCUACCCCCAGGAUUUGAGAGUUCCGAUCCGAACUUGGUUUGCAGGUUACGGAAAUCACUUUAUGGGUUGAAACAGGCUCCGAGAUAUUGGUUUGCCAAGUUGGUCACGGCUCUUAAAGGAUAUGGUUUCUUACAAUCCUACUCUGAUUAUUCUCUUUUUACUUACACUAAGGGCAAUGUUCAAAUAAAUGUGCUAGUGUAUGUCGACGAUCUUAUUAUCUUUGGGAAUGAUUCCGCUGCACUUAAGACCUUUAAAGCCUAUCUCAGUGAUUGUUUUAAGAUGAAAGAUCUUGGUGUUUUGAAGUAUUUCCUCGGAAUCGAGGUGGCCAGGAGUUCGGCUGGUUUGUUCUUGUGUCAACGCAAGUACACACUUGACAUUGUAUCGGAGGCCGGAUUAUUGGGAGCCAAGCCGUGUGGCUUCCCGAUCGAGCAAAAUCACAGAUUAGGACUCGCAAAUGGGGAGCUCUUGUCGAACCCUGAGUCCUAUCGCAGAUUAGUAGGUCGACUCAUUUAUCUGGCAGUGACCCGUCUAGAUUUGGCCUACUCAGUUCAUAUAUUAUCUAAAUUUAUGCAGGAGCCUAGAAUUGAGCAUUGGAAGGCGGCUUUGAGAGUCGUUCGUUAUUUGAAAGGUACUCCGGGUCAGGGUAUCUUGUUACGUGCAGAUAGUGAUCUGUCCCUGCAGGGUUGGUGUGAUUCUGAUUGGGCAGCAUGUCCAGUCACUAGGCUCUUUGUCCGGAUGGCUUGUGUUUCUUGGGCAAUCUCCUAUUUCUUGGAAGACAAAGAAGCAACACACAGUUUCCCACUCGUCUGCAGAAGUGGAAUACCGAGCUAUGGCAGCAAUUACUUGUGAGCUCAAAUGGUUGAAGGGGUUGCUUCUGAGCUUGGGUGUGCACCACCCAAAGGCAAUCAAGCUCUUUUGUGAUAGUCAGUCAGCCCUUCAUAUGGCCAAAAAUCCAGUAUUUCAUGAACGCACCAAACACAUUGAGGUUGAUUGUCACUUUGUUCGGGAUGCGAUAACAGAUGGUUUGAUUGCUCUGUCAUAUGUUCCUACUGUUACACAAUUGGCGGAUAUUUUUACAAAGGCUCUUGGAAAGAAACAAUUUGAUUAUCUUCUUGCCAAGUUGGGCAUUUUUGAACCUCAUGCUCCAACUUGAGGGAGGGUGUUGAGAUAUUAUGAUAUAUUCUAGGAAAGUAGUUGCUAUUGUUUAGGAUUGUUUCCUAAAUGUUGAGAUAUUAUGAUAUAUUCUAGGAGCUAUUGUUUAGGAUUGUUUCCUAAACUCACGGCAUUGUUUAGGAAUGUUUCCUAAACUCACGGUUUUCCCUUCAUUAGGUUUGCUUGAUGUACUAUAUAUUUACAUGGAUGAAUAUCAGUUAGGGUUAAGCUUUGACCCUUUAAUCACACUUUACAUUAAGUAUUUAAAAAGUUUCUUAGUUUUCAAUCCUUUUAAAGCUUAGGAUCCCAAAGUGGAAGAUAAAAGGGAAAAACCAGAAAAGAAUCUCUUUUCUAGGGUUUAUACCUCAAUGACAAAGAAGUAUGUGGCCCAAAGUCGAGUCACAGAGGUUCAUGCACAUGAAGAGCAAAAGCAGGAUGAUCACUUUUCAAGGGUUUAUAACUUGAGUGACAAAGAUAAAUAUAUUUACAAAAGAAUAAAAAAAUAAAAUCAAGUUCAUAAUUUAGCUUAAUAAAAGUUGGUGAAGUCUAAUAUGGUACGAAAUUGAAAAACUUUAUGUGAUCUCUUUUGAUUUAAAGUGUUGGUGCACCUACCAUGUGACAAUACCAGCUCAUACAAAAGAGGAUGGAAAACAUAUUAUAUUAAUCCCUCCAAAAUUAAACUGUCUGCAAAUUUCGUAGUGUGAGUGUGAGAUACUAGAUGUGAACCAGGGCCUUUUUAUUUUUUAACCAGAAAGUCAAACACAUUGUAUUGGAAACUUUGAUUUUUUUUUAUUAUUAUUAACAUUUCCCAAUAACCAAUUAAAAAGAGGCCAAAAUAACACAAACAAAUAGAAUAAGAAUUCCUAGAUAGAGGUGCUGAAUAAUCCAGAGAUGAUAUGGGCUGUAAGUAGAGAGACCUUAAAUGAAAAAAAAAAUUAUGGAUGAAUUUAAUAUUAUUAUUACUAAUAAGAAAAAAAAAAGUAUAUGGACAGGUUGUCACAUUAAAAAUAAAAUACAAUCAAAAGAAUGAAAAUAAUAAUGAUGCAAUCAAAUUGAAUCAAAUAUGUCUAAGGGCCAAGGCCGUAGCCAUAAAAAUGGGGAGUUGACAACUCAGAGCCCCAACAAGCUCCUUAAUUUGUCUGUUUUCCAUGCAAUCUGAGAAGAAACUCAUCAAAAGUUUGUUACUCCUACACCAAAUGCAAGCAAAAAUCUUGAGAGCUUCAACACAUGAUGGUGAUUUCGCUUGUUUGCUACCCAUAUACAUGCAGUAACUAAUGCAGAGCAAACAUGAUCUGGUUUUUUGGGAGCCACUAUUAUUUGAAAUAAUGAUCCAAAUGGAGAAUUUACAUUCAAGCUGUUAAGACUGUAAACAAAAAGAACUUAAAUUCUUUUUCAAACUAUUAAAUUGAUAAAUUUACCUUUACUGAUGUUAAAUAACAAGGCUAUGGAAUCAAAAUUUAGAAAAAUUGGCGAUUAAGACAAAGAAUAUUAAUUUUGGAUUGAAAAAUUUGUUAUUUAUUUUAAUUUAUUCCUUUUAGUCAUUUUUCUAUGUAUCUUUAUGAGUUGGCAAUUCCAAGUCAAAAUUUUCAUUAUAGUUAUUUAAUUCAAUUACUUCAAAUCUUUUCUUGGACUCUGGUCAUUUUUAAAUUGAUCGUGAUUGAAGAUGGUUAGAGAAAAUAGCAUAUGGUUUUAAGGUGAUGACCGAAGAUUUCCCAUGAUAAUUUUGAACAAAAUUGGAUUUGAUGUGCAUAUUUAUAAUUGAUGCCAUUUUAACUCUAAUUUCUUCUAUUUGUUUUUAUCAAUCAUGGACCCUUAAUUUCUAUGUUUCUCAACAAGCAAUCUAAUAGUUUCAUCCUCUUGAUUAAGUAUAACAAGCAAUCUAAUUGUUAAUUAUUUAAUACAUGCAUCCAUCUAGUCAACACUCUGGGUAAAAUAGUGUGAUAUGCUGAUGACCCAGUGGAAUCGGAUGGUUCUAAAUGAAGCCCAUUCCUUUAACUCAUAUUUAUAAAGAAGCCCACCCCACACAACCAAUGAGUCUUGAGCUCACAAGAUGUGGAUGGUGUUUUUCCUUUCAAUGAGUGUUGUUUAUAGGUAUUUAUUCUUUUUAGAAUCGAUAUGAGAUUGUCAAUAUUAAUCAAUGAAAAAUAAUUAAUAAAUCCACCUAAAAGGGUUUGAAACCUUGUACCUGAGUUGGGUAAAUGACCUAGGACACCCUUGGGUAGUGACUUUUUAAUGUGUAAUAUAACAAGCAAAACAAAAUAUAUUCAAUUCUAAAAAAAAUUUAUAAUAUUAAAUAAAAAAUUAUAUAAUAUUUUUUAAAAUUAUAAAAUUAAUUUAAAUUAAAUAAUUGAAUUUUCUCUCAUUGUUAAUAUAUUCACAUUUAAGUAUUAUACAUAUUUCAUUUAAUAAAAUUUAAAAUAUUAAUACUUUUAUAUUUAUAUACGAUUUAUUUUGAUAAUAUCAAAAAUAUAAAAUAAUAUUAUUGAUUUUUAAUUUAUUUAUAUAUAUUUUAAAAAAUUUAUAAUUAUUUUAAAUUUUAAUAAUAUAUAAACUGUAUAUUUAUAAUGCUUUCAAUUAUAGUUUAAUCAUUAGUUCAAUUAUAAUUCAAUCAGUGAUGUGUCCAAUGGACUGCAAACCAAAUAACCAUUAGGAUCAUAAAAACAUUGCUUUUAGCUUCUUGAUUUUGAUUAGAUUCUUUUUCUUUUAAUAAUCACAUUGGCUUAGACCCUCAUUUACUUUUGUAUUUUAUCAUAUAUACAUAUAACGUUUUUUCUACCAUUCUUCGCUUUCUAUUAUUAUUUUAUAAUGAAAAAUAUAAAUAAAAAUCAAAUAUAACUAAAUUUAAAUGAAACCAUUAUUUUAUUUUAAAUGAAAAAAAAAAUAAUUUUUUCCUCAAAUUUUAUUUUCCCCACUAUGUAAGGUUGAGACCCCACCUUUACUUUUUAUUUCCACUUUUCUUGGUUCCUUGUAUUCAUUUGAAAGAGAAUCUUCUUUUUUACCUUUUUGGGAGAAUUGUGCUUCACGCCCGACUUGAAAAUUGGCUCAAGAUCCUUAUAUCCCUUAUAUUUGAGCCCAAUACCUCAUAGAUAUAUUUGAGCUCAAGACCUAAUGGAUGAGUGAAAAUUGAAUUGAAAGACAUUACCUUUCAAAAUUUAUUGAAAUGCCUUCGGCUGCCAAAAAGCAAAAAGAAAAAAAAAACACAACAAACUUCCCACUUCUCUCUCAUUCUUUCUCUUUUUAUUCAUCUUACUUUUCUUUUACAUAUUAAUUGGUGGGACCAUAUAAUAUAAAUUAAUUCAUAGCUAGGGAGGUGUUAUUAUUUCCAUCAAUUAUUUUUUUUCCUAAAAACCAUACCUAAUAAAUUGAAUAUUGGAAACCAAUGGUUAAAAAUAAUUAUUACUACAUUUUUUAAAUAAGUAUUUUUUAAAUACCUUAAAAAAUAUUAUUAUUCUUUUUUUAUCAUAUAUAUAUAUAUAUAAGCUAUUUUUUAUAUAAAUAUCUUUAAAGUUAUAGACAAUUAUUUGAAUAUUUUCUUUAUUUUAUAGACAAUACAUAGACAUUGUCUUAAUAUAUUAUUUUGUAACAUGACCAUCUUUUAACUAAUGGUGAUAAUUAAUUUUUAAUUGAAUAAUGUAUUAUAAUUUAAUAAUUUUAAAAAAAUAUUAAAAUACCAUUUUAAAUUUGAAAUAGAUGUGGACUUGACAUGGUUUAAAUUAUUAAAACACCAUGUCAUCAAGUCAAGCAAAUGUAUUAUAUUAAGAGAUAUGCAUGUAAUUAUAUCAUAAUUUUUCCUUCUUUUUUUUCCUCAUACAUGAUAUCUUUUGUAUAAAGUUUUGUAGAUGAAAAAUGACAAAAUAUUUUAUUAUGUAAAAAGGUAUAAAAACACAUUAAAAUUGAAAAAAAAAUAUAAUGGAACAUAACUUAGAUGAAAAUCACCUUAAAUAGGGAUAUAAUAGAAAACAUGAAAAUAUGAGAAAAACCAAGUUUAGAAGAAAUUUAAGAUAAAGAAUCAAAGAAAAUAAAUUAAAAGUAAUAAUAUAAAAAUCAUAGAAUCUUCAAAACUAUAAUUACAAAAAAAAUAUAUUUUAAAUUAACUCAAUAAUUUAAAUUAAUGAUUUUUGUUUAAAUUACAAAUGUUAGAAAGAUAAUUUUUAAUUCUAUUUAAAUAUGAUUUUUUUAAUCUUUGCUGACAUUAUGUUUAUAAGGAUAAAAUAGUAUAAAUAUAUAUUUCAUUCGGUUUAGUUGUAAUAAACACUUUAAAUAUGAUUAAUUUUAAUUUUAUUUACUACAUUUUAAUAUUGAUAAUUUUUCCUAAACAAUUAUUAUAUGUUGUUUAUAUUAUCUUAAGCCAUUUGAAACAAUGAUACUAAUGUGUUAUUGUGGACCCCGCAUUUCGGCUCAUGCGUUUCCCACUCGAAUGGCGAGCUCGAUUUUAUUUCGAAAAAUUGAUUUUUAUUUGAUUAAGAAAAUUGACUUGGAGUCGCCACUUAUUUUUGUUUUAUUUUUAAAAGGGUAAACAAAAUAAGAAAGAAAAACCCUAAGUGUGACUCCUUACUUUGGAAAAGGUGGUCUGUGAAAAACUGGAUCGGGUUCGGGGGUCAGGUUACUCAUCGGGAAGGUACGGUAAAGACCGUAGCACCCCUCUAAGUCCCUAAAGUCGGGUCUCUACUAAUACAAUGAAACUGACGUGGCAAUCAACGAGAAAGUCAAUGGAUAUUCACCUAAAUCAUGCACAAUAUGAGAACCAAAGCACGCAAUAGAGAUUGACUAGAAAGAGAGUGGAUGCGUACCUCGGCCACGAGCCACAAUGCACUAUCAAGAAAAGGGAUUAGCACACAAUUGAUGAAUACAAAAUAUAGCUCAUACAUAUCGAAGUGCAAAAUGAAGAUCAGACAAAAUACAUCAAGUGCAACAGUUGACAAUCAAUAGGGAUCAAAUAUAGGGCCCUCACCAAAGCCCAAUUUAUUGUUCAUGGACUAGUCUCACAAAUUCCGUGUUUCGGGAUCAUGAAGAAUUCAUCAUUGCUUAUGUAAAAUCAAGAAAAUCAUAAGAUUAUUUAGGAGCUGAAAUGAAAUUAAAACUAUUUGAGUGAAAACUGGAUUCUUGGAAUUUGUUUGAAAAUCGGGGGUCUUGGGAAUUAAAUUUAAGAGUUGGAAUUUUGGGGAUUAAAUUAGAAAGGAAUUAGAAUUUCGGAAAUUGAAAAUUAAGUUUGGAAAUUGGAAUUUUAAAGAAAUGUUUAAAAUAGAAUUUUAGAAUGAAUAAAUAAACUAUUAGUAAUAAUUAAUGUGAAUAUGAGAAUUUUUCGGGAUUAGGAAUUUAAUUUGGAAAUCAUAAGUUUUAAAGAAUUGAUUUUAAAUGGAGUUUUAAAAUAAAUGAAUAAAAUUCUAAUGAUUAAAUAAAUUAAUGGGAGUACGAGAAUUUUCGGGAUUAAGAAUUUAAUUCGGAAAUCAGAAGUUUUAAAGAAUUGAUUUAAAAUGGAAUUUUGAAAUAAAUGAAUGAAAUAUUAGUGAUUAAAUAAAUUAAUGUGAGUAUGGGAAAUUUUGGAAUUAGAAAUUAAAACCGGAAGUCGGAAAUUUAGAUGAAUUGUUUAAAAUUGAAUUUUAGAAUAAACAAAUGAAAUAAUAAUAAUAAUGAAAAUAAUAAGGAUUAAAUAAAUAAAUGUGGAAAUUAGAAUUCCGGAAAUUAGAAAUUGAAUUUAGAAAUCGGGAUUUUGAAGAAUUACUUAAUGAUGGAAUUUUAAAUAAAUAAAUAAAAUAAUGAUGAUUUAAAUAAAUUGAUGUGAGAAUUAAAAUUUCGGAAAUUGGAAUUUAAAUUUAGAAAUCGGAAUUUUGAAAGAUUAUUUAAAGGUUGAAUUUUAAAGAUAAGCAAAUAAAUAAAUAAAUAAGAUAAUGAUGAUUAAAUAAAUUGAUGUGAGGAUUAAAAUUUCAAAAAUUGGAAUUAAAAUUUAUUGAGGAAUUAAUGUUUUUAGGGAGAUAAAUCAUGCAAAUUGGAAACAAAAGGGCUAAUUUGAGGUGGGUAUGGGCUUGGCAUGGGCAUGGACUAACUUAAAAUGAGAGAGCAAAGCAAAGGGCCUUUCAUCAACACAUACGGGCCUGGGCUCCAACUUAAGCCCACAUCUCCAACUGGGCCAACUUAAGAUGGGUGAGCAAAACAACUUGGAGCUUUUUAUCUUCACAUACGGGCUGGGCUCCAACUUAAGCCCACAUCUCCAACUGGGCCAAUUUAAGAUGGGUGAGAAAAUCAACUUGGAGCUUUUUAUCUUCACAUACGGGUUGGGCUCCAACUUAAGCCCACAACCUUGAAGGCAUAGUCUUUGCUUCUCUUCAAUAUAAGGCCAUGUUUGGGUGAUGAGCGGGUGGAUGAUGAGUAGGGGGAAACUUAGAGAGAGGAAAGUGGGUAGAUAAUGGAGGUUAGUGAGGAGUUGGUAUGCAUGAAGAGCAUGUGGUGUAGAGAGAGAAAAAGUGGUGGGAUGAAGUGGGUAUGCAUGGGAUAAAUGAAGUAUGGUGGGCAUGAGCAUGAAAGAUGAGAGGAUGAGGGCUUGAAAGUGGGUACACACAUGGAACCUUAGGCACGUAGGAAUCAAGCAAAAAACGAAAAAUGGAUAAGUAGGCAUAAGGGGUGGUGGUGAUAUGCAUUGAGUGGUGGCAUUAAGGAAAAUGGGUACCCGGUGUAGCUUAGGGAGAGAAAGGUGGUAGGGAAAGAAUAUGAAGGUAUAGAGAGAGAAGUGGGUAGGGAGGUUAGGUGGUUCGGUUUGCAUGGUUCCCAUGCAUGUGAGUGGAUGAUUUGGAAAAGCUUUUGAUAGCCACGUAUGGUGCAAGAGAUGGGCUAUGGGUUGGUAGGUGUGAUCAUGGGUGUGGUGGUGGUGUAGAGAGGGAAGCUAUAGUAAUGAGAUGGAAAUAUGAGAAAAUGGAUAUGAAGAGGUAGGCAUGCAGAGAUGGGAAAUAGGUAUGAAAGAAAGGUAUGGGUUAUGGAGAGAGAAAAGGUGGUGAAUCAUGAAAUGGGUUUUAUGAGUGUAUGGGAUGAGAAAAUGGGUAUAUAUAGUUGCUGCAUCAUCCUCAUCCUGAAGCAAUAGAUCCAACUCAAGCCACAGUGACUCACGCCAUACAGUGAAGUCAUCCUCAAUGCAUUGAUCAUCAUCCCCAAGACCCAUUGAGAUAAUGCGCUUUUCACCCUCAGAGACUGCUGAAAUGUUUGUCUCAGAAUCAACAACUGGAUAAUCAUCAUGUUGUUCCCAUGCAUCCAUCACAACAUUCAAGUCCAUCUGAUAGCCAUUACCCAAAAGCAGAACGUGAAACAUUGGGAGAUCACAACAUUACAAGUCCAUUGGUGAGAAUGUAUUAUCUAUGACUCCUUGCUCCCAUGAACAGAGAUGAGAAAAUAAUAUGCUCCAGAAACAGAUACGGGAACAGGGGAAGAUGGAGAAACAGAGCACAAAAGAAAAUAAAUAAAUAAAGUAAAACUCAGAGACUUUACUUCAUGGGUUUUUAGUAAGUCCCCUGUUUAGGUGAGAAAAACCACCCCAAAUGCAGCUACGGGCAUCAUCAUAAUAUAAGCAAACCAUACCUAAAUCAACAAUGGCAAAUAGGAAUGCAAGACUUCACCUCAAACAAGCUACUAGUGGCCUUUAAUAUCCACCCCAAACAACAUGGUGCUUAGAAGUAUAAUAACAAUCUAAAGAAAAACAAUGAAUCACAAGGAAUGAGAGGAAAACAGUAUACAUACCUGGACUCCUUAAACCAAAAGAACCGAGCUUCGACCCUCUCAAUGAAUUUUUCUCCCUCUCUGUAACCGCUGGCCUCCCCCCCUCUUUUUCCUCUUCUUUUCUCCUGUUUGCGUCUUCCUCAACAAGUCACUACUUGCUUCCUACCACACGUCCCAUCUAGUCGCUACCCACCAUCCCCUCCAGCCGCCUGAGAGCAGCCCACUUGAAAGCCGUCCGAAAAACAGCAAAGAAAUAAUAAAAGAAAAGCCCCCCAGCUCCUCGGGGGGGUCUACAGUUAUCCAUUUUAUAUUAAUUUGAUUUCACACAAAAUGUACUACCUAAAUAUUGUGGUUAAUUUUCCUUUAUAUGAGAUAAAACUACUCAAACGAAAUAUGCAAUUACAAAUUUUGGAUGAUGAAAUUUAAGAUUUCAAAUUAAAACAAUUUUUAAGUGAAAGAAUGUGUAGGGAAAAGUGUCCAAUCCUUAGGUGACAAGGAAAAAAAUGGUUCAGAAUUGAUUGAAAUCUUACAUAAAGGGUAGUCUUGUAUACCUCUUGUACAAUUAGUAUAUUUGUCUUAUACAUUUAGGACAUUUGCUUUGUACAGUGAGUGUAACACCUUUUUACAGUAGUGCAAAUUUCAUAUACAAUUCGUAAAUGACAAGGAAAAUAAAGCAGUGAUUCAAAAUUGAUUAAAAUCUUUCAUAAAUGGUAGUCUUGUACAUUUUUGUACACUUAGUACAUUUCUCUUGUACAAUUAGUAUAACACCAUCAUACAAUGAUGUUAUAUAUUCCUCUUAAGUUAUGUGUUAAUGUAGGUAUAUUAACUAUAUUUCUAAUGGUUUGGAUGAGAAAAUGGUGGAUGAAUUAAGGUUAAAAUUUUUUUCCCAAACAUUAUUAUUGGGAAAGUAUCAAAAUUUCUAUAUAAGAGUUAAAUAAAGUGCAUGAUAUGAAUAUGCAAUUCAUGGGUGACAAAGAGAAUGAAGAAGUGAUUCAAAAUUGAUUAAAAUCUUUCACAAAUGAUAGUCUUGUACAUUUUUGUAUACUUAAUACAUUUCCCUUGUACAAUUAGUAUAAUGUCAUUGUAUAAUGACACAAUAUAUCCCUCCUAAGGAAUGUGUCCAUGUACGUGAAUGGAUUAGGGUUAAAUUUUUUUCCUUAAACAUCAUUAUUGGGGAAAGUAUUAAAAUUUAUAUGCAGGAGUUAAAUAAAGUACAUGAUAUGGAUAUGUAAUCUAUGGGUGACAAAGAAAAUAAAGGAGUAGUUCGAUUGAAAUUUUUUACAAAUGGUAAUCUUUUACACUUCUUGUAUACUUAGUAUAUUUCCCUUGUAUAAAUUCACUAAUUGUACAAUGGUACAAUUUUCAGAUCCUGGUAGUGAAUGUGUGCCUAUAUGUGUAUUACACAUGAUUCCAAUAGUUUGAUUAAGAAAAGGGCGGAAAACUUAAAUUUGAUUUUUUUUGUGAACAUACUAUACUUUUGUGAAAAAAAUAUAUAAUUGACCGGUUCCUUUUAUUUAAUUGUUAAUAUAUUAUAUUUUAUAUUUUAUUAUUAAAUAGGUUCUGAGUUUUCAGCGGAGAUCUGGCUACCGGAAUUCAAAUUUUUUUUUCUUUGGUGUUUUUUUAGGGAAAAUCUCAAGAACAUCUUCGGUGUUAAUGUUUUUAAUGGUUGGUUUCUGGGAAAAUUUUACAAAUGCUGAUGAUAAAAAAUUGGUUAUUCCAACUUAUUAUAAUCAGUUUCUGGGGAAAAUUUUGAAAAUGCUGAUGAGAUGGAGACUCAGAUAUUUCAGCUUCUAGUGUUGGUUCUGGAAAAAUGUCAAUGCAGUAGCUUGCAUUUUUUUGUUCAAUAUUGCCUGCAGAAGCCAGUUGCUAUGUAAUCUUUGUUGAAAUUAAAUCAUUUCAUUGGAAAGCCCUUUCAUUGUCAUGUCUGGUUAAUAGGAAGCUAUUUUCAGAUCUGAAUAAGAAACAUGGAAGAAGCAGUUAUUUCCUUAUGUGCCUAUGACUAUUGACAAAUGGCAUUUCCCGGUACAUAAUUUUUGGGUAUUGUUGAGGGGGUUGUUAUAAUCUUGCUUGUUUUCCUCUGUUUUAAAAGCACAAGAUUCACAAUGCCAGAAAAUAAAUAAAUGAAUAAAAGAAAGAAGAAACUUCAUGCUUCUUCGGACAUGUAUUUCAAGUCAGUUUUCUGUCCUUGGAGUCAGUCCCCCAAACUAAAUAGAAAAACAGUGAAUGUGCAGAAAAUCCUUUGUAAACAAGUUUGGCUACUGUUUGCUGGGAAUUUUUACUUAAAGGCCCUGCCUUCCAGAAGGAUAAAAAUGUAUCUUGUUUUAUGUUUAAGAAAAUGAAACCACCAAAAACAGCAAAUUUUCCCAAAUAUUCAUGCUGUUCCAUAACUUUUCCGGAAAUGGAUCCAGGAAUGUGUUUUAAAAGCAUUAUUUCCUGAGUACAGUUUCAAACAUGCUAUUAAAUUCUUGGUAUCCACAUUUUAAUUAGUCAUUGUAAGCUGUCACCAAAAAUUAACCUGUAAGGGGAGAGAUAUGGUAUGAAAUUGUCUGCUUCUACUAGAAUAAAGAACAUGAUGUUCUGUUUUUCUUGAAUCAAGAAAAGAAAAUGUUCCUGGGAUGAAAUUAUUUGAUAAUUCCUGCAGUUCUGCAAAUUGUUGAAUUCUUUUGUGUAUUUUGUAGGAAAAUCAAUGCAAUGGAACUUCUGGAAAGUGGGUUAGAGGGUAUCAGUCGAAUAGAACUAGCUCAAUCACCACUGAUAUGUGGGCUUCCAGAUGACAUUGCUCUUAUUUGCUUGGCAAGGGUUCCUCGGAAGUACCAUACACUCCUCAAAUGUGUUUCGAGGAGAUGGAGAGACUUGGUGAGCAGUGAAGAGUGGCAUGCUUAUCGUCAAAAGCAUAAACUGGAUGAACCCUGGAUUUAUGCCUUGUGCAGAGACAAGUUCAAGCGGGUUUGCUGUUAUGUGUUGGAUCCCUACUCAACAAGAAGGUCUUGGAAGCUCAUUGAAGGCUUUCCACCUCGCAGCUUGAAGAGAAAAGGAAUGUCGUUUGAAGUGCUGGGAAAGAAGGUUUACCUGUUGGGUGGCUGUGGUUGGCUUGAAGAUGCUACUGAUGAAGUUUACUCCUAUGAUGCUUCCACAAACCGGUGGAGUGAAGCAGCUCCACUGUCAACUGCAAGGUAACCCCGUUCACAAAUAUUCUGUUCUGUGAUAUCUUCACUGUUAACAUUGACAAUUCAUAAUUCAAAUCUUUUCUAAGAUGAAACUUCACUUGCCAACAGUAAGCUUUAAUAUAACAGAAUACAGUUAUACUUUCUUAUAAAAGGAAAGAUGUUUUCCUUCUCGUGGAUAUGCAAUUUUAAGAAAUUGAUUACUUGUUAGAAGUUCCUUGUAGUGAUUUGGUAGUCAUCUGAUUGACUCAAUGCAUUCAGAUGCUAUUUUGCUUGUGAAGUUCUAAAUGGAAAGAUCUACGCCAUUGGAGGGUUAGGCUCAAAAUCAAAUGAUCCACAUUCUUGGGAUACUUAUAACCCACAUACAAACAGUUGGAAAUCUCACUCGGACCCUAACAUUGUGCCUGACAUUGAAGAUACCAUAGUUCUGGAUGAGAAGAUUUAUAUCCGCUGCGGCACUUCUGCUUUGACUUCUCAUGUGUAUGUAGUUGUUUACAAUCCAUCCCAUGGCACAUGGCAGCAUGCUGAUGCUGACAUGGUGUUAGGAUGGCAGGGUCCAGCUGUUGUUGUAGAUGGGAUUCUUUGUGUUGGACCAGAGGUUGGGAACUAGGCUGAUGAUGUGGCAGAAAGAGAGUACGAAGUGGGUGGCAGUCGGCAGGCUGUCACCUCUUCUUACAUGUCCACCUUGUCGGCUUGUUGCAAUCGGGAAGAGCAUUUUUGUCAUAGGGAAGGGGCUUAGCACUGUGGUUUUCGACAUUGGCAAUGCGGGGAAUAUGGGAGGGGUAAUGGUGAGUUCUUCUAUUCCCAAAUUAACUUCUGAUGAUGAUGUAAUU
rnacentral:lncRNA from 1 species